CCAAACGGGUGCUUAUUUUCAACUUACAUUUUUACUUAUAAGUUUAACCUUUUAACUUGAGACAAACAUCUCAAAAAGUUUCAAACAAGUUAGCUUUUGUGAUUAUUAUACCAUUCAACAACUUGUUUUUCACUUGGGUGUGUCCGGUGGGACCACCUGGAAUUGAUCAAACCAAGACCUCGUUUGGGUGUGAUUUUUCACUUUAAAAAAUUAAUUUUUUUUAUCAUUAUUUCAUUAUUUCAGUCGUAAUUUUUGACUUCUUUUCUCACAUGAGACCUCCACUUUUUUUCCAACGAUCAAAAAAUCAAUUAUCAGUAUCACUACCGAACAGUCCACAAUUCUACGGCCUAAAUUGAUCCGCAAACCAGUACAGGACCAAACAUCUAGUUCGGAACAGUACCGAAUUUUCGUACUUAAAACCCAGCCCACAAGACUUCACCCUUUCAUAUCAAUGGUUAACUGUACCCCAAAAACUCACACAGAGAGAGAAUCUCCGAUAUGCCAAGAUGGUUGUCCAUGUCAGCUUUCCGGUGGUUAGACGUUAGCUUCUCGCUUCCGACGUCUUUGUUCCGGUGGCCGAGUCUGUUUGCCUCGUACUUCACACCAAGCUGGAGCAACAGCCUUAGCCUUAGCAGUUUGAGCAGCUUCGAACCGCGGCGGUUGGCGGCACUCGUCCGGUGGCCGGACCUCGAUUUCUCCUUCCCCAUUGUCGACACCGUAAUCUGGUCCUUCAUCUCCGCCAUCGAGUCCGUCGCCCUCGUUUCCUUCCUCUGCUUCUUCUUUGUCUUCUGCGGCUGCACCAUAUGAUACGAGACGAUCACCAUCUCAACUGCGGUACAUACAUAAUAUGUAUGUAUAGUCAUAGAGUUAUAUACAUAGGUUAUCGCCCAUAGUUAAUGAUUUCGAUGUAAGUGUUGUGUACUGGUGGUGGCGCUGCCGUAUAUUAUGAUUUGCUGUGUGGUUGUGCGUGGGAUAUUUGUGUACAGCGGUGGUGGUUCACGUGACCAAAGCACGUGACCAAUCCUGGCCUGCUGGAGAACAGAGGGUAAUUUUGUCUUUUACCAUGCUUGCCUUUUCGUGUUCUGUUUUCAGAAGGGUUUUGAUUUCCGGGGAAAGGUAGAAAUUGGUUAAGAAAGAGGCUUGUGUUAUAUGUAAAUAACUCUUUUUUCUUGGGAAAAUUAAUCAAUUUUUGAAUAUAAUCUUUCCAUUGAAUGGUUGAAUUCAUUUUACAUGGCAUAAUCUUGGGAUAAUGAGAUUUUAAAAUAAUUUUAAGAGAUUUUAGCUAAUAUUUUUUUAAAAUAAAUUAUUAAGAAGAAGAAAAUUUAAAUGAUGGUGGAUCCCACACUAAUGAUUUAAAUUUGUUAGUUAGUUAAUAGUGUAAAUAGUAUUUAUUGGUGGAGCGAAAGUGGGUUCCAUUUUUAAAGAUUUUAUUAAAGAUUGUUUUCUAUUGGGAGAUAGGUUACUCAUUGGUGGAAAUAUUAUUAAUAUAACAUUGAAUUAAUGGCGCAUAAUCCGACGGGAAAGCGUACAUUAAUAGCAUCUUUCACCUUCUAAAAACUUUACCGUCCAUCUCCUAAAUCCUAAUCUUUAAAGUUUAAACAAACUAAAAAUAUAUUAAGAACUCAAGAGGGCUUUGACAAAUCAAGAUUUUACAGGGAGAAUACGUAGUUACCAUAAUUUCAUGAUACACUUUUAAAUAGGUCUGAAGAAAACUCUCGAACCAAAUUGAAUUGAACUGAGCGGUUGUUCUUAAGUUAAAUACUCGAAUGAGUAUCUGAAUCGAAAACUGAUGGGUUCAGUUCGGUUCUCGGUUCUAAAUUAAAUCUCCCUAAUUUUUUUUAAUUAACUUAUUUUAAAAAGUCAAAUUAUUUUAUUUUUUCUAAAUAAAUUUGUUAAUUAGUUAAUUUAGCUGAAAUUCAAAAAUAUGAAUUUUCUAUAUCUAAUAUUCAGUUCAAAGCCAACUUAAUCAGAUUGAUCCAAAUUUUAUCCAAAUCUGUUAAUCUACUGUAGUGUCAUUUCUAUCGUUUUGGAGAAAUCGAAUUGAAAUUCGAUAACGCAUCUCUUAAUUAUAGUGAGUUCUUUAUCUUCAUUUUCUUGUGAUUUUAAAAAUCAAAUCUAUGAAAAACUCUGGACUACGUUAUUUUGUAAGAGUUAAAAUUGAAUAUAUCAUUAGUUGAAUUAAUAUAGUUUUGUAAAUAUUAAAUUUUUUAAUCAUAAUACGAAACCGAAUCGAACUGAUCUGAACCGAAUGAAACUGAACCUGAACAGUUCCAUAAUUAAAUUUGGACUCAAUGGUUCUACUUACUAAAUACCCAAAAAUUUCUAGAACCAAACUAAAUCGAACCGGAUCAUAUUCAGCCCCACUUUUAAAUAAAAAAAAAUUGUAGAAUUCUUUAAAAAAAUUAGGUGAUAAUAUUUUGUGACAUCUGAUAUAUUUUUGUGACUAUAUUUAAUCAAGUAGAUCACGAUCACAAUUUAUGGUCACUCUCACAUACUAAUUACAAAGCGCAUAUGAUCUCUGUUGCAAAGACACAUUAGUGUGUCAUAUUUUCAUAUUUUAAUGCAAAUCAUACAUUUAAUAGGUUAGUCACAAAUUAUCGAAUAACUUAUCAAAUUUACUUUCACCUCACCCCACCUCACCCUACUCUACUAUAAUCGACAUCACCGAAAUCACCAUCGUUGACUCAAAUUCACAACCUGUCACCACCUCCAAUGCACCAGCACCCCACCGUCGACAACACCCCCAAAACGCUCAUGUAUUGUGUAGGGAUCGAUCUUCUAUAGCCUAGGCAAGGUGUUAUCACCUGCUGUACAAAGGAAACCAAGGUAAUUUGAUUUCUUGUUGAUGGGAAGCACUUCGCACCCACCUCUUACAAGAAAUCUUUUGUACAAGCUCUUACUGUAAUUAAUUGAUAUGACAUUUCUAUAGCAAGUAUCUAAAAGUUCAAAUUGUCAGUUUAUAUUUCAGGGGUUAGACCUAGACUCUGGGGUGAUCAAUUUCGAGGAACAUUAAAUGUCAAUCAGCCUAUGAUUGAUGAAGUAAUGCCUAGGAGGACACAUUUCGACCAUCAAGAUGAAGCUACAUGUAUCUUUAUCUAAUGGUGUCAAUUCCUCAUUUUCUAUGAUAAAAGCUCACGUAUGGUUCUAAUUGAAAAUAAUGCAAUUUUAUACAUUUAACUAUAACAUUGCUCUCUCAUUAUUUGUUCCCUUCGUAUACUUCCAAAUUCGAACCCCUUUUUUUGUGGUUCACGUCUUUAGCAUGUUUCGCAUUCAAAUAUUUAUUCACAAAUAAACUAACUAGAUCGUCGGAGGCUGCUUUUCCCACCACUAAAGAAGGUCACGUGCUCGAACGAUUUGUCCAAGAGUGCAGGAAGAAAGCUAUGUGAAAGUGAAUGGAAUUGGGAUCUGUGGACCACAUUCUCAAAGAAUCGAACAUUUCCCGCUUCGAAAAUUUAUCUGAUAUCGCGAUCUUAAAAUUUGUAACCCCUUAAUCUUUUAGAAUAUCUAAUAAAAUAGCAACUGACAGUUCUAUAGUCCAUUUUCCUUUUAUUUGACCUAUAAAGCCUUACCUUAGUUGGAUAACCCCAAAUUUGCAAGUACUUUAAAAUAGGUUUCUUACCAGUUCAAAGCUUGUAAGGGAUUUUGACAUUUGUUUUACUUGGAACUUUAUUGAGAAUUUAAGUUGCAAUCUUUUGUUCUUUUUUUAGAGAGAUUCUGGUAAGGUGAAAUGACUAAUCAUACUCAUUGCUAUGUCCUUAAGUAUUCUAUUUUAUCUCUCAGUAACAUCAUUCAUGUUAGGAAACUCUACCAUGGUGUACUGUGUGACAAUUCAGCAUUUCUUUAGGAAUUUUGCAAAAGGUAAUGGACGUUAUUCUUCUGAUCUGUUAUAUCUACCAUAGUAUUCACCACUAUGAUCAGAUCUGACAUGUUCUAUUCUUUGUUGAGUUUAUUUUUAAUCUUAACCUUAUAAGUCUUGAACAUGUCAGUGAUUCAAAUUUCUAAUAAAUAAGAUACAGGUAGCCAUAAAGAUAAAAAUCAUCCACGUACGUAAUAAAUGAUUGUUGACCAUUUCAAGAGGUCGAAGGGAAUGAUCCACAUAUAUCCAUAUGAAUUAGUUUUAAGAUGUUAAAAAUUUUAUUGGCACCUCAUUUCCUUAUAUUUGUUUGUUUCCACUUGAUGUAAUUAACAUAAACACUUAAGUUUGAAAUAUUAAGGGGAUAAAAAAUUCUACCUGACACAAGCUUUUUCAUUCUCUUUUGAGAAAUGUGACUUAAACGCUUAUCGUAACGAAUUAAAAUUCUCAUUGAUUAAUUUACGUUUAAUACCACGUGAAUUUACAUGAAAUAUUUUUUUUAUAAGUGGCAAUCGUAUUAAAUAAAUAUAUGAUAAUCAAGAACUGGUACCCACAAUAUUUGAAUUAAGAAAAAGGCUAAACUGACUAUUUCCAAUUAAAUAAGAAAAUAGAAACAAAAUACAAAUUUCAUCUAAAAGAGGGUACCUCAAAUGUCUCUUUCAAAUCCAAACAAUAAUCAGUUUUAAAUAAUAAACUAAAAGUCUUUGUAGCCUCAACUUUAACUGAUUUACCAUCGUCUCACAUAAAUGAAUCUUUUAGUAUCAAUUAACUUUCGACUAUUCAUAUUAAAUAAAUAUAUGAUAAUCAAGAACUGGUACCAACAAUAUUUGAAUUAAGAAAAAGGCUAAGCUGACUAUUUCCAAUUAAACAAGAAAAUAGAAACAAAAUACAAUUUUCAUCUAAAAGAGGGUACCUCAAAUGUCUCUUUCAAAUCCAAACAAUAAUCAGUUUUAAAUAAUAAACUAAAAGUCCUUAAAGCCUCAACGUUAACUGAUUUACCAUUGUCCCACAUAAAUGAAUCUUUUAUCAUCAAUUAACUUUCGACUAUUCAGGCAACCUUGCAUAGACACACUUAUGUGAGUAGUGAACCUGAAUUUAUUCACCAAGUGUGUCUAGGUAUUGAAACUAAAAUAGUCUCAAAACAAAUUAAGGUAGAAAAUGUACUUUUCUUUACGUUCCAAGCGUGGAACUUAGUAUAAACCCUCUUGACAUGUCUGGGAUUUUCACAAAAGUAAUAGUCGGAUACUUCAUUUUUAGGCUUUUGUUGUUUCUUUUGAACUGAACCAGAUGCUUUCUUAUCCUUCUUUCUUUUCUUAAACUCAUCAUUAAAGAUACUUGUCAAGUGAGUAUUUUUCCUUUCUUCUUUUUGUACAAGAUAUGAAGUGAGUUGAUUGAGAGCCUAAUUCCACAUUUAAUAGUUGUAACAGACCUUAAAUUAGCUUAAUUGUGCAAGAAGAGAAAUCAAAGCUAAAUGCGCAAGCAAAUCAUUAGACAACUCAAACUUUAAUGCCUUUAGUUUUUAAACAGGAUGAGAAAUCUCCAUGAUGUACUCUUGUAUGCUUUCUUUAGCUUUAUAUUUUAGUGAAACUAAUUUAUCCAGAAGCGUAUUAGUUUUGACCUUAUUAUUUUUCACAAAACAUUUUUCAAUUUCGUCAUGAAAUGUCUUAGCAAUAGUUACCUUAUCAGACACAAUGCCUAUAAAUGUUAUUGAAAUUCCAUACUUUAUGAUCAUAAGACUUGUGCAAUUUGAAUGAUCCUACUUAUCAAAGACCCCUUUUCACUAAAGAAACUCUCAUUCGUAAAAGCAGUGGGUUGUUUAAUCAUUAACACAAGGUCUAGAUUCAUGUAGUCAUGAACGAUAUGAACAUUCUCUUUCUAGUCCUUAAAAUUGGUUACAUUAUCACAUGAAUGAGAUUGAUGUUGGCAGAUGUAGCAGAAGUGGAUGAAUUAACUGAAUAGGGAACUUAAUCAUAAAUAACUUGUUCACGUGGGAAUCUAUAUUAAGCAAUUAAUAAAUUCAAAUAAUGAUGGGCCCAUCACAGUAGACCGAACAUAACAUUGAAAUUUAGUUUUUGGAUAGAAAUAUCAACUUGCAAGUGGUGCUCUUGAUGUUUUAACGCCCAAAAUUCUAAUAACCUAGCGCGUUACCAAGCUUAAGUUCUUUAAUGUAGAUAUCCAAAAUACAAUAUUAAUGAAGGUUUUUAAAUUAGAAUUUAUUUAAUCAAACUAUAUAAUCAUGUUAUAUAUUUUUUUAUUUGUUUUUAACAAAUAAACAUAGAAAUAUUUUGGAACAAAAUGAAUUAAAAAAGAAAAGAAAAGAAAGUUGGAGGAGUUCCUACGGUUGCACAAUGAGUUUGCAAAAAUUAUUUGACCUAGCAAACCUUGAAGAAAAUUUAUGAAAUUUUACAUAAAGGUAAAAACUCAUAUAUGUAUGACAUACGAAAAUUCGGGAUCCUGAAGACUAUGUUUGGAGCACGAAAUGAUUUUUCGAACAAGCUGAUCUAUGUUUUCCGAAUUUGACUGUCACAGUUUACUAAAGUUGCUGUGGUAAAUUCUACGGGACUUGGAUCAACCUAUUUUCAAUUGCAUAUGGUAAAUAACUCUCAGGGGAUCAUUUUCCAAUUAAAAACAUGCUAAAAUUUUAAAUAUGAUGACCAUAGCACAAUUUUAAAAAUAGUGGCAAAAUUAUGAAACUUACUAAAAAUACACAUUCAAACAUUAAAACUUUUCCGUCUCAAAACACGAGUUUAAACAACUAUUUCUGGGACACCCAAUGAUUAUUAAACAUAAAAGUAGCAAUAUAAAACAUAAGAAAUAAAUUUCUCUAAAAAUAGUGCAUGGCGUUCAUGCUGAACCACUGCCUAAUUUCCGAUUACUUUGAAAGGGUUAAAUAGGAGUGAGCACCUGAAAGAAAUACUCAGUAGGCUACACGUGCUAUAUGAACAUAAUAAUCAUAUAUUUAAUCACACAUUCUUACAUGUUGCUUUCAUAAAUAAGUAAAUCGAAAUCAAACGAUCCACAUAGAGUUUUGAUGAGCCUCUUUCGACCAUCAAUUUAAUAUAUAUACUUAAAGUUCUGAUGGGCUUUUGCGACCAUUAGUUUAAACAUAUAUAAAUCUUUCUUUCAUAAAAGUUUAAGAGAAACUGUAAAAGCACUUCAUAUACUUCAUGAGCAAAUAUAUCGAAUAACAUGCUUAAAUAAAAAUUAAAUUCAUAUAACGACAACUUCGCGUAGGAAUCCUACCUCACUUCUUGGUGAUGACGUAGCGAAUCAAGAUUCUUUCCAAAACUUUUCUAAAGGUUAGAGGUGAAAUUGAUUUUCUGACUUCCCUGCUAUAUUUCUUUGAAAUUUUGAGAAGUCGUGUAUGACAUAAAGUUGGAUGAAAAUUGAAUUCAAAAUAGCAGAAUUUGUUUCUUGUUACAUGAUUAGGAUAGGGGCUUAGCUAAUUCUAAAUUUUUUUUAUGACUUAAUCAAAAAUAUAUAUUUGACUUAAUCCAAAUUCAAAUUUAAUUUAAAUUGCAUAAUUUAAAAAAUAAAACUAAUUCCAAAUAACUUUCAUACUAAACCAAAAAUAUUAAAAAUACCAAAUUCCAUUUCGCACGUGGCUGCCCAAAAUAUAUUAAAUCCUUAAUUGACUUUAAUUAAAUAUGUGGAUUCUUUGAACAUCAAUAUCGUGAGCCUAAUUUAUCUGAAAUAGAUUUUUCUCGAGUACAAAAUUCUCCAUUUAAUAUGAGCUUUGAAACAAGCCCAUUAUCGAUAUAAAAUUUCUCGGUAGAUGAAUACUUGAUGAUUUGACCGAAAGCUAAAAUUUUUACACAAAGAUUUAUUUUAAAAUUAGUCCCACAAUAUCUCAAAUUAUCAAAACAUGUCAAGAUGAAAUAGAUGAAAAUUUAUUUUUGGUUGCUACAAAUGAAGUAAUCAAAUAUUGACAAUAAAUCAUUUCAAACAUCAAGUCUAUCUUUAGACUAACUUAAUGUUCACAUAUGGAAAACCUUAUUAUUAUCACAUAUUUAUUAUCGCAUGUGUACAUAUAAUUCGAUCAAAUAUUGACCUUCCUUUGGACGACCAAUACCCGCUUUAAUUACACAUGCACAAUUAUCCAAAUAUUCCACAUACAUUAAUUUAGGCAAGAGAGGUUACUAAAGUAACAUAUUGUUUCAACUAAUCUAUUUUAGAAAAUUAGUAAUCCGAAAGAAACUUUAGUAUCAAAAUUUGAAUUUGAUUGCCCUCCUUUUUCUUUUUAUUUUGUUCUAACAAACAAAAAUAAAAUAAAAUUGUCCUGCAGCGCUAACCAAUGUCGUGGUGAUGUCGCCCUACAAGGGGACAGCUUUCGGGCGCUCCAACUAUCCUUGUUCAUCCUGUUAUAUAUAUAUAUGGAAUGUGACAGACACCAUUUAUCACCAUAAUUAACUUUCAAAAAUAUAAGAAAUUUAGUCCAUAUUUUAGCUAGUGAUGUCAAUUACCAACUCUCAAUAAAGAGACACAAAAAUCCUAUAGCAAUUUAUUGGAUUAAAGAAUUUUUUGGUUCUUCAUUUAAUAUCCAUUUGAAUUCUCAAUUCUACAUCAUUAUUGAUACAGUAAUGAUCUAACUGAUCAUGCCAAAUAAUAAUAAAUUUAGCAAUUAAACUUCUGGUUUAAUACAUUAUAUUAAUACUAUAUAGUAAAAACUAAGAAAAUAUGAGUAAUAUAUAUUGACACUUCUAGAACCUUACAAUCAAAUCUUUAUAAUUCAAGAUUAUAUUGUAUUAAUUUUCAUCAUUCUUACAUUUUUCUUUCAAUGAGUCACCAUGAGUUUUGUUGGAUGCUUGUAUGUUGCACAAGUACAUUUACACCCGUCUCAUGACCUAAACACUACAUCAAAUUAUAAAGUAUUUUUUACUUAAAAAACUUCAAGUUUGUGACAAUACUUGAUUCAAAUGAUUUUGUAAUUUUUGAGAAGCGUGCUUCUUUGAAAGCACCAUCAUAAUUUUUUUCGAAAAUAUUAUUAUGCUCCUGUUAAAUUAGAUUUUUAGUAGAUUUUGAUAAAAAAAAUUUGAAAAGUGUGGUUAAAAAGUAAUGGAGCCCAUGUAAUACGUGGCUAAAAUUAAGUUUGACUUAGAUUAAAAUCUAAUUUAAAUCAAUACCAAACAAGGCCUAUGUGUAGAAUCAUGCUUCUUCAAGAAUAUUGGCAUGUAAAAUUUUAUGAUUAUUUAUAAACAACAAAAUGUUCUUCUAGAAUAUUAAUACGUAUAAGUCAUUCUUUAAAAUAACCAAAUUACUCUUAUAAAAUAAUGGAUUAUUUAUAUAUAAGGUAUGCUUCUCCAGAAGCAUUAACAUAUUAUCAGACUCAAACGUAUAUAAAGUUAAUCUUCGAUACUAACACAAUAUUUCUUUUAGAAUGUUGAUUUGUGUAAAAAAAUUAUUUUUUCAGGAAUAUCAAAAUAAUAUUUUUUUUCUUAAAAUUUUUUGUAGAUGUGUUAUUUUUCUUCAGAAUUUCAACAUAAUUUUCUUCAUAUUAAGUUGUGCUUUUUUGGGAACACAACAAAAUAUAUAAUCUUCAAUAGUAUAAAAAUGAAUUUCUUAUGAAAUAUUGAUUUAACAGUUCGUUCUAUCUUUCGAGUUAAACAAUACAAUAUUCUUCUGCAAAUAUUGAACGAAUAUAAAGUCAUUUUCUUCAAAAGUAAUGACAGAAUAUUUAAAAAUUGAAAUAGAUUUAGAUAGUUUUGAGUAUUUUCAAAUUCUUAAAAAAAUUGAAAAAAUGGUGUUUUAAAAAAAUUUACUAUCUUCUAAUCAAUAUAAAAUUUUUAAUAUUGUUUGCAUAGAGAUUUCUUACAAAUGAAAAGUAUGAUCUUGAUUUUAACAGUUAAAUAUGAAGAACAAUUUAUGAACUUACUAUCAAAAUUUCUUGAUGAACGGAUUGUGACUUACUGAGAUAUCAAUUUUUGAUCACAGCAACUGCAUGCUGUCUAGAUUCUGUGAAUUUUCUGAACUAUUGAUUUCAAAUUUUCUCCAUAUUUGCUAAUUAGAAUCUACUUCAUGAUCUAUUUUAAAUCACUUUAGCCUCUAUUUAGCCCCUAUUAAAAUUGUAAUUCAUGUUUUACUCUUUUCUUAUCAACAACAUAUUCUCCAAUAAAGUAAUAUUACAUGUGACCCAAAACUCCUUUUUUUUAAUUACACAUUUUUCAAAAAAUUAUUAUUCUAAGAUACAUUUUUCCCAAAUUUUCGUUAUAAUGGGGCCAAACAAGGGCUCAAUAUAUUGAUGCUUAUACUUGUUCGAGAGUAUAAUACAAUAUUCUUUGAGAAUAUUGGAGAUGAGGUGGCAACUUGUACCCAAUAUGGGCAGAAUAUCAAUUCCAUUCUUUUGAAAUAUUAACAAAAUAGAAAGUUACUUUUCUUGAAAAUUAUAACUCAAGAUUGAGUUAUUAAUCAUAUAACAUUUGCUUUUAAGAAGUAAUAUCAUAAGUUUAUUAUAAAUAAUAGAUCAUUCAAAUUCUAUUACAAGGGAGCAAAUGAAAACAUAAUAUAAACUUGUAUUCUAGAUAACCAUAAAAUAUUCUUCUAGAAUAUUUAUGAAUUUAUGAAGUUGUGAUUGCUAGAAUAAAACAAUUUAUUUUCAUAAAACUUUCAUAUAGAUUGUAUCUCGGAUCGUGUUACUUUCUUUGAGAUAUGUGUUACUUCUAGAGCAUGAAAAACAAAUUAUUAUUAUUAUUAUUAUUAUUAUUAUCAUCAUCAUCAUCAUCAUCAUCAUCAUCAUCAUCAUCAUCAUCAAAUUUUUGUUUAAAAAUGAUGUUACUAUUAUUUAUUCAAGAGCAAUGAAUCAAUAUUUUUCUGAAAUAUUGAAAUUUUAAUAUCAUGUUUCACCAAGAACAUCGGCAUGGAAUUCAUUUAGAACUACAAAAUAUUAUAAAAUAUUGAAUAAAAAAUCACAUUCAACUAAAUAUUUAUCUAUCAUAAAUUGAUAUAUUCAAAUCAAUAUAAAGAGAUCGAAUAGCUAUACCUCUUUGUGUAAUAUAAAGUUAAGAGAAUACUGGCAUUUUCUUUGAGCGAACAAAAAGAGUUUCUUUGUAAAUUCAAUUGACUACACUUCUUGUCUUUCUUUGAUUGAGAAAAGAUCUACCUCAAUUGGUUAGAGAUUUAUAAGUAGAAAGAGAAAUAAAUAUUGUUAACUCUAUUAACUAGAACUUAGUUCUAAUAACGUGUUAUGAAUUAGAAAGAAAAAAGAAGUCAGUAGACUCAUGUGUAUUUUGUUGAGAAUCAAAAUCUCAUAUUUAUAGAAGAAUUAUGAUUGCAAGGAAUACAACAGUCAUAAUAACUAGGGCUACAGGAGUAUAAUAGUCAUUUGCGAAUAAACAUAUAAUUUCCAACAUAUGGUAAUUAAUAUCUGUAAGUCAAUAACUUACUUCAAAAUAAUUAUUUCAACCACUUUUGAAUCAAACUAUGUUAUCUUGCACUCUUGCUAAUUGGUAAUUUUAUCAGGGAAAAUAAAACAUAAAAACUUCGUCUACGAAAAACAAUACCUUUUAGAAAAUUAAGUGAGAUUUCUGCUAAUUAUUUUAGGUUAGUGACUCAAAGGUUAGAUAUUUUCAAUUGGACAUUCUUGAAUCUUUAAACUUAAUACCUCCAAACAAAACCAGAGGACUUUUCAUAUACAAAACUUUUGGGGCUUGCUUGGGAGUUCUUUCCCUACUGAUUUUGAUUGAUUUUGGGUGACGCCACUUAUAAGGGGUUAAAAAAUUCAAUGCUCGUUAGUUUUUUUAGACAUCGAUUUUGGAUCGUUUAAAAGCCACAUAAAAUCAAUAUAAUGUAAUUUUGACCAGUUCUCUCAACCCACCAAAAUUAUAAUUUUUGGCAUUUUCUUAUAUUUUCUUCUAAUUUUACCAAUUAUAAAAUAAUUAUUUCCAACCAACAUAUUUUGUUUAAAACUAACUUGUAAAUAAAAAUAUAUUAACUAAAACAUUAUUUAUAAGCAAAACAAAUUCAUUAUACUUAAAAAAAAUACUUAUAAGUAAAAUAUUACUUUCGUGUAAAUUUGUUUAUAAAGUAAAAGUACUACUAAUAAGAUAAAAAAUUACUUAUAAAAUAUAAAAAGUUACUUAUGUGAAAAAAUAAUUUAUAUGUACAAAUUAUUUAAAAGUAUGAAAUUAAAUUAUAAUUGUAAAGUAUAUUUAUGAGUAAAAAAAUACUAACUUAAAAUUUUAAAUAAAUAUUGAAAUUUAUUUAACUUUUUAAAUUAAUUAUUAACUUAUAUGUAAAUUUACCUAUAAGUAAAACAUCACUUAUAAGUAAAAAAUUUCAUACAAUUAUAAACUAAAAAUUUUACUAAUGGAACAUGUGUAAUUUUAUUGUUUUAAAAAACAUUCAAAAUUGGUGGAUAAUAAACUCCCAUGUAUGGGUUGAACUGUUUUAAAAUCAUUGAAAAUCGAUCCACUCAUAAAUGCUCAAAAUCAGUACUUUAAGAAACGUUUAUAACCAAUACCUCAAAAUCAAUUAUUUAAACAAAGCUUAUAACCGGUACCGCACACAUGAAUGCUUAAAAUCUAAGAAACUCAUAUCAAAACCCAAAGCCCACAGAUCUCCAAAGAGGAUAGCUCACAUUCAAAUCCUUAUAUAAAAAAUAUGAAGAAAAAAAGAAAGCAGUUAUAUACAUGAGAAUACAAUAAACCCAAGAAACUCGUAUCAAAAUCCAAAAAUACGCAAGUCUCCAUAGAUUUCUCACUGUUCGACCAAGAGGAUAGAGUGAAUAGCGAUGAUUGAGAAAACAAGAAAUAGAUAUAGUAGAAGGGAUAGAAGAGUCAAGUGAGAGAAAUCUAGAGAAUAGAAAGGCGUAAAGAACGAGUAACACCAACGAACAAAAACUUAAAAAACCAAUUGAACACAAAAAAUUAGCUAAAAAUUUAAAAAUGUUUAAAAACCCCGCAAAAAAUGUGAACAAAAGUAAAACAAAUGGGACAAGCCACAAAAAAAAAAAAAAAAAAAAAAAAAAAAAAAAAAAAAAAAAAAACAAAAAAAAAAAAAAAAAAAAAAAAAAAAAAAAAAAAAAAAAAAAAAAAAAAAAAAAAAAAAAAAAAAAAAAAAAAAAAAAAAUCAAAAAAAGAAUCCAAGAAAAACAAUUAAAAAAAUGAACAUGCCAAAAUGUACAGACUUCUUACCCUCAAAACAAAAAUAAUCUAAAUCUACAGAAGCUAUGAUGGAAAAUUGUAGUACAACAAAGCAAUGAUCAUGAUUAUAGGAUUUCUCUAGAAGAUCAUGAUUUUAGGAAUUCUGUAGAAGAUUUGGAGGUAAUUAGAGGGCAGAAAAUGGAUUCCAAGGGAGGUAAGAAGCUUCAGGGUACUUUUAAAAUUGGAUUAGUCAAAUCAUCCAAUUAUCACUUUUGAACAAAUGAAUAUUUCCACAAAGGUCUCUUGAUUGUUGAAAGACAAAUAUGCUCUUAAAUAUAUUAUACAAUUAAAAAAUAUUAUUUUGUUUAAAAGAUAUUAUUACCCUUUUAGUUAACAAAUGAAAACUAAACACUCCCCACUUAAAAUUUCAAAAUCAGAUAACUUUUAUUAUUGGUUUAUUUCAAUACAGAUAAAAAUUUUCUCAUCGCUUAUUUGCUUCAACCUCAAAGUCUCAAUAAUUUAUCAAACAUUGAACAAGGAGAAUUUAUUUAUUUUUAAUCACUUUGAAUCGUUAAGUAUAUUUAUGUAUGUUUAAUUUUGUUUUCGUUACAUUAGUACUCGUUUUAAUCAAUAAUCUUAUUUCGGCAUAGUUAAUAUAUGUAGAAAUUUUUUUACUAGAUCUAUAAUUUUUUAAGUAUGAACAAGUCGAUGAUGAGGAUUUGCAUGUCGAGUAACUGUUUGAAACAAAGAAAGAUUUGCAAGAAGCUGUGCACCGGACGACAUUAAAAUACAAAUUUGAGUGUAAGGUAAAUAAAUCAUAGAAGUCGUUAUUGACGAUUGUCUGCAUCGACGACAAUUACUGUUGGUGCUUGCGAGCGACUAAGAUAGACACGAAUGAGUUAUUUGUGGUUUGCAAGUAUACGCGGGGAAUAUACUUGCUAAGUGAGAAUUCUUCAAAACGAUCACAGGCAAGCUGGAGCAUGGUUUAUUGGUUGACGGAUAAUGCACAAGUACUAUGACCCACGAUCUACAGACCCUUUGACAUCAUUAACGACUUCCGUCGAGAGUACGGAAGGGUCAUGAGUUACCAAAAGGCCUGAAAGUCUAAAGAAUGCGCAUUUAAAGAUUUAAUGGGCUUGGCUGUGGAAAGCUAUGCUAAAAUGGUCAGGCAUUGCCAUAAUAUGGGGAAAACUAAUCCUGACUCCACAUUUUUUUAUUGAGACGAAUGAUGAAAAUUCGUUUAUGUUUUUUUCAAGGGUCUUGGACAAUGCAUUCGAGAAUUUUGAAAUACGAUGCGAACCGUAAUUUUAGUCAAUGGUACAACUCUGAAAGUUAGACACAAAGGCAAAUUGAUUAUUGCUCCUUGUCAAAACACCAACAUCCACAUUUAUCUUCUUUUAUUCGGCAUAGUGGACAGUGAUAAUGAUCUGUCGAUGCGUUGGUUUUUUUACAAAGCUAAUGGAAAUUAUCGGAGAAGUCGAGGACCUUGCCUUUGUAACUGAAUGGAGAUCGUCUAUAAUAAAUGUUAUCACCGAAGUUUUUCUUGAGACACGUCAUGGGUAUUGCAUAUACCACAUACAAGACAAUUGAAGAUUAGGUAUCAGGGCAAAGUCAUCAUUUCAUUGUUUAGAAAAACGGUCGAAGCUUACAGUGCUGAAAAGUGUAAUAAGUUAAUGGUCGAAAUUGCAAGUAAAUCAUCCUCGGUAUGGGAUUAUCAAACAAAAAUGGGGAUCAAACAUUGGGCUAGGUUACAUUUUUCAAGACUUUAAUAUAACAUGAGGAUGUCGAACAAUGCAAAGUCUCUCAAUGCACUAUUCAAGAAGGACCGAGAGUUACCAAUUCUUGCAAUGAUCAGGAACAUUUGUAACAAACUGUAGUAGUAGUUUCAUUAUCAACAUGUGGAAUCACAGAGUUGCAUGGCAUGUUAGCCCCAACUCAAGAGGACAAACUCUUCAAGCCUGUUGAGGUUUCAAGAAAGUUAAAUGUGAAACCACUGGAUGAGUUGUGCUUCACCGUGAAAUGUGCACGUAAUGUGAUAUACAUUGUAGACUUGAUUGAUAACACAUAUACUUACAGUUGGUUUCUGUUAGAGAGUUUUCCAUGUGAGCAUGCAGUUGCGGUGACUAUGUAUCGAGGCUUUGUAGCGAGAAAAUAAUGCUCUCCUUAUUACACUAUCGAUUCUCGGAGAGCAACGUAUGCUGAGACUAUAUUUCCUCUAUUGAAUGAAGUCAAGUGGACAAUUUCCGACUAUAUUCUUCCACUUAAUACAAUGUUGCCAAUAGAAGUUGAACCGCGUGGUCCUGGAUGUCCACGUACUUUUAGAAUACCAUCUAUCGGAGAGUUUUCUCGAUCGUGCAGGUGUGGUAGGUGUCCCUCAAAUGACAAUUAGAUCGAUGUGUAAUGAUAUUGCUGUUAAAUGAACAAUAUUUACAUCUAUUUUACAAUAUUCAAAAUUAUUUUGUAAUUAUAAAAAAAUUCAAUCUAUAAUAUUUACAUAAAUUUUAUAAUAUUUACAAUUAUUGCAUAAUUACAAAAAAAUUCAAAGUACAAUGUUAUAUAAAUUUAACAGUAUUUACAAUUAUUUCAUAAUUUGAAAAAAAUUCAAUAUACAAUAUUUAGGAAUCACAAUUAAAUUCGUAUAAAUUGCACAAUAAGUUACUCCUCCAACUCUGUAUUCACGAUUGGUUGAUUCCAUCAACCUUAUGUGCUAGUCUAUCCUACACAAUCAUCCUGCUCGUCUAGUCAUUAGAGGAACGAUCACAGCCACCGACUUCAGGUUUUACUCAAGCUGACCAUCUGUCAGACAUGAAUGAUCGGAGUCGUACACAUAUAUAGUCGAGUCGGCGAAAACGAUCUCUAUGACAAUACAAUGAUGACUUGCAAUCACUGGAAUGUAAAUAUGUGUACAAUCCUACCAUGGCUUUCCCCUGACACUCGCAUGAUACAUUGAUGACCCACUCGAGUAUAUAAUCGGGCACUGUGUACUCGUUAUCUAUAAGUUGGAGCGACUGAUACUCAAUGGUAGCAGUACGGACGAACUCAGUGUUCAAUUCUAUCGACAUGAAUGUGAAAUUAUUUUGGAUAUAUUUCAGCUCGAUCGUGCAACAAAUCUAUGGCUAUGUCGAUGUGCUACAUCAAGAAGCACAAAAAAGAGGUAAUUAUUUCAUUUAAUAAACCAAAAAUUAUAUAUACAUAAAAAAUUACAAUAUGAUUAUUUCACUUACAUCGUCGAUAAGCGAAGCUCCCUAAGUGGUGAUGUUAUGAAACCACUUGUAAAUGUCCAAAAUCGUCAUUUGAACUAUAGUGCGGCUAGCUCUUUAAAAAUAAAGAAAAUGUUAAAAGAAUAUAUAAGAGUUACCGUAGCGUACUUUACUAAAAUCAUACAAUACUUACUUGGGCACAAUUCCUUUCCACUCAGUCUAGUAUGUUUUCCACUUGGCAUUGUUUAUCCCCUGAAAAAGAUUGGGGUACGCCCCAUCGACGAACCUCCUCAUCUUCGUCUCAGCUAUGAAGGGAGAGACGGCUUACUAUGACGGCAAUCUGGACUUCUUGUCGACUACCUGCUCCAACAUGUCAAAAGCACGCUUCUUACCUUCAGUAACGGUGUACGUUCUCUCCUCCUGUGCCUCGGCGAUCGUUUCUUCUCGAGGCUUGCCACCUCCUCCAUCAUCUCAUUCUCUACCACAUUUCCCUUCCCGAUGGGGCCAUCAUCUAUCGCUCUACAGAUAAAAAAAUGAUUAUAAUGCAUCGACGGAGGUAAUCAUCGAUCAACUAGAUCACGCUUAUACACAAAUAAUAUUAUUAAAAAUUAUUAAGUUAAUUAAUAAUUGCUAAUUCAUAUAAAACGAUAAUCAAUAAAUUAUAUUCAAUUCACAUAUCUAAUCUUGAUCUAGGAUCAAAUCGGGCAUCUGGUUGUCUUGAGUGUGUGGACUGACUAAUUCACACACAAGACCUCGAUCCUCAUCCUCCAUCGACGACGUUAAAUCAGUUAUGACUUCAAUUUGACAUAUUGACAUUUGAACUAGUUAAUGAUUAUGUAAUGAGAUUUAAAGCUACGUACAAUAUAAAUCACAAAUGUAUAAUGCUCACAUGAGAGUCUUUGAGGGGAGUUGAUAACAAUUUCCCAAAUGGACAUCCGUCCGCUUGGGAUGCUCGACAAUUAUGCAUUCGAGGACAACGUGUCAUCCCUUGCCUAGCAAAGCAGGUACCUAAUAGGGGGAUAAUCUCAUAUGCCCAGAUUUGCAACACAUACAAUUAUUUUAUAUAAAUUCAGUAUACAAAAUAUUUUAACAUUGAUUAUGUUAAAUAUUUACCUGCAUAGCCAUGGGCAAUCAAUAGGUAUCAUUCUUACUCCCAGACCUCUUGGGCUUCGAGGGUGAUUUGGUGAAGAUAUGUACAGUGUCCUCAAAACAUCUCGUCCCCACAGAUAAUUGUUGAAAGCAUCAAUGUCGUCGACGAUCUCCAAAUGGAAGAUAUCGAUCACCGUCUUCUUGUGAUGACACCAUACCACACCCUCAAGGAUGUAGACCAGUCCUAGUUGCGGUUUGUCUAACAUCUGGUCAUACCCCCCAGUUGCACCAAUCAGCUGUGGAAAAAUCACUGUCCUCUGUCCCUGGAAAUAAGCGUCGUGCAGCUUGUUGCUUCUUUGGGUACCAUCACGAGUUGCUUCAUCGCCCCUAAUUUUUACUUUGGUCAUCAGGGCAAACUUAAAUAAGAAGAACGAGACGAACUUGCCCCCAGGUCGAAGUGGAAAGCAUCGUCGUCCACUGGCCUGAGCAAUUGACACAGUAGUGCGUCGAUGAUCUACCCGAAGUACUGGACCUCCCUCAACUGAGAUAGGGGCUAGAAGAAAUAUUGAUGUAGAAUACUCGCAUGCUGGUCAUCCAGUAGCUCCAGUACCAUAUUGAAACUAUCAAAGCUACUAUUCCAAAUAGUUUUUCCCAACAUUCGUCUCAACUCCUUAUCCAGGUGGUAUUCCAUUUCACAAAAAUUCAAAUGUUAGAAUAUUGAACAAAAGAGAAUAAAAUAAAGCAUAAUCUUAGAAAAUUAAACGAAUCGAAUUGUAACUACUAUACGAAAAAUGAAAAUUCAUUUUACAUCUAUACUAAUAAAAGCCUAAAUGAAUUGCAAACAAAAAAAAAAGUUAUUAAAAAAUUUAAUUUAAAUUGAAAGGAAAAAAGGAGAAAAAAAUGGAAAAAGCAAAGAAAAGCAAAGGCAAAAAAGAAAAAAAUUGAAAAAAAAAAAAAGAAAAAAAAAAGGCCGACUCUUUGGCCCAAACAAGGACUGGGCCCGAAUAGUCCACUUGACAAAACAAAACAAAAUGAGAAAAAAGGGAGAAAAAGAAAAAAGAAAAAGAAAAGAAAAGGAAAUAUUAAAAAAAAGGAAAAAUGAAGAAAAAUGAAAUAAAAGAACAAAAAAAAGAAAAAAUAAUUAAAAAUAAAAAUAAAUAUUAUUUAAUUAAAAUUGAAAAAAAAUUAUGUUUUACCAUAAAACGAAAACAAUUAAAAAGAAUUUUAAAUCAAACAACAAAUUAUAUUUAUAAUAUGAAAAAAAAAAUUUAAAACAAUUUUAAAAAAAAUUAUUAAAAAAAAAAAAGAAAAACAAAAACAAAAGAGUUGGUUUUCACCGACUGUCUUGCUGGCAAUGACGAGAUUUCUAGCGAGCUUAACUCUUUUUCUUCACCGUAGACCAUUCUAAACCCCUAAAUCUGCCUAAAUAACAUCUUAUAAACAUCAUACAUAACAAUUUAAUACACAAAUUCAAAAAACAUGCAAUGAAAAAUCAAUAGUUUAAACCUAAAAUAAAAAAGGAAAAACCCUUGUUGAAGAUAAUGAGCAAGUUUUGUGGUGAUCGGUGUUGGGUGGACUGUGAGUACUUUGAGCUCGACUAGAUCCCAACUGUAAACGUGAGAAUUUUUUUUUUCUUGUUUCCUCUCAUUUUCUUUGUUUGUGGAAGAUGAGGGUAUUUUUGGGAAAUGGUAUGUAAAAAUCUGUUAUAACAUUUAUCUUUUUUUUUCUUUUUUUUUUUUUUUUUUUCAAUGGUCAAAGAUCAGUGUGGAAAAAUGGCUGAGUCAAAUGGCCAGUUCCAUAUAUUUCCUCAUAAGCUUCCUGGGUUCAAAGUGUGUAAUGGAGUCAAAUGACGUAAAAACCCUAAGCAAUAUGAUGUUGUCUUGAUAUUCAGGCGACGACGUCGUUCUGAUUCAAAACGACAUCAUUUUUAACACAAGCAAAAUGAUGUCAUUUUUAGACCAACAUAAAUGAACAGUUGCAAUGCAUUGCCUCUUCUAUUAUAGGUUAGGUUAGGUUAGAUAGAAAAUCUUUAUGAUAUAUUCUUAUUUUUUAAAGCCAUCCCCAACUUUCUGAAAAGAAACAAUUGGUGCUUAGGAAUUGAACAAGGAAAGCAACAGAACGAAGCACGGCAAUGGGAUUUAAUCUUUAUAGCCAUCUACUCCCUAUUUAAUUGAUUUCACCUAAGAUAGCCAAACUUAAUGGAAUCGUAGACAUUGCAGUCACUUAAUUAUUUGCAAUAAUUGGUAAGACAAUUAAUUUGUCAUUAUUGAUCUUCAAUCCAAGUCAUAUCAAAAGUCUAGUGAACGGUUGAAAUAUCUUUGGUGGUCCAUAUUUGAAUUACAAUCGUGCUUUGUAUACAAUCAUGAAUGAUAAUUUUAUAGACAAUAUGUCAUGUGACAAAUUGUCAUUGAACAAUAUGAAAAACAACUUAUUUUUACAACCAAUAGUUUUUUGAUAACUCGUACAUUGUCAACCACACUGUCAUUCGUAGUUGUACAAAUAGAUUAUCUUUGGAUUUUGUACUCUGUCACUAGAUUUUCGUUUGCACACAAUUUGUUUAGAAAUAGAAACUUUAAUUAUAUACCAUCGAGAGCAAAAAGAGAGAGAGAGAGAGAGAGAGAGCUAAGAAUACAAGAAAUUCGUAAAGGUUCACAUUAAUGUGUGAUUAUAUUACUAUGAUGAGAAGAAAUUAAUAAGAGAAAAAUCGUACGCCCUACUUUCUCUAACUUAUCUCAUUUUUGGAUGAUAAUACAAAACAAUAACGAUUGUUACCUAUUUAUUAGAGAGAGAGAUUACGACUAUGAAAUUUUACGUACAGACUUUGCACAGUGACAAUAAUUAUGACAAUAAUUAUACUUCACAACUUAACAUUAUUAGUCAGGGUGAAUAAUAUUUUUAGGGAAGCACAAUAAUUCUAGUGCCUUGAAGACAUAAUUAAUGCCGAUCAUGUUAUCCAACACUUAAAUCGAACCAAAUUCCCGGGUCAACGUCAUAAUCAAAUAGAAACCACAAGAGAGUCUUAACAUUAGAUACAUGUCUAUGUACAGUUUGCAUUUAAUUACAAUUAGUAUAAUUGGAGUUACUUGCACUACUGCACUUAACCGUGCUAACUGUUGACAGUGAGCUUGAAACCAAACAUUCACAGGUAAUCGAUUAAAUGAUCUAAUCCUCGGAGAAGUUGCGUUAACUAUUGAAAACUGACAAUAAGAUCUACAUGAUGUGUGGUGGCGAUUAAAUUUAGAUUUUUUAGUAGAUUGUGAUUGAAAUUUUUGGAAUGUGUGGUUGAAAAGUUAUGAGACCCGUGAAAUAUGCAGUUAAUAUUGAUUGUUUGACUUUGAUUUAGAUUAAAAUUCAAUUUUAAUCAAAACCAAACAUGGGCUUAUUUUAUUAUAACCGUGGGUCGAUGUUAAAACACAAGCAUCAAGCAUUCGAGCUUCAUUUCAUUUCUUUCCUCUGCAUUAAAGUGAGUCUAUCAAAUGAUUUUGAUCUUGACAUUAGAAUUAAUAUUGGACCAUCUUUUGCCUGGCUAAAAUGUCACCUGGUUUGUGGCCAUCUCCAUUGCCUAGAAAUUUGAGAAUGUAUCAUUGUUGUUCUUUUUUGUUAUCUAUUCUUUUAUUUUAUCUUCCUGUUUGCCCAUAACCUGACAGGCUAGCUACUGAAAGCAGUGUCCAUUAGCUUGGACAGAAGUGUUUUGCUUUUCUCUAUACAUAUUUACUUUUUGGAUUAUUUGGAAAAAAAAAAAAAAAAGGGCUGAGGAAAUAUAACACCCUUACUUGUAUCAUUGCACGGGUUGGCACAUCCACAUGGCAACUUAAUGAAUUUUUGGAGGGUGUUUCUGUCGUUAGGUAUCACAGAUGCCAAAAUAUGAGAAGUUAGGACUUUGGAUAACAAUGUAGCAUAUUGAAUCAUAGUAUUUUAAAGCUUCCUACCAAAAUUCUGCUUACGCGGUUUCAUGAUCGGUGCCCAAGCUAGAGUAAAAGACGAGGGUUGAGGUAGGUUGACAGUCUUUGUCGAAUUAUGUGACAUAAAUCCUAUCAUAAAAAGGCUGACGAAUUUGAAAUCCAACAGAAUUCCGAAGUAUUUAAGAUUAUGAUGCAGAUUAGAAACUGCAAUAAAGGACAGUUCUCUAAGUUCAUCCCAAUAAAUUCUCCCAACUCCUGCUAAUUAGUCAAGAAAUUAUGCCUGUCAAUAUUUUCAAACUAAAAGCUCCUUUGUUUUGGCUUAGAUUUCUCCUCAAAAGCCUUUGUCAUGCACAUUUUCUACUGAGGAGAAUUACUUGUCCUCAAGAAUCCGAAUCGAAAUUUCAAAAGUAUUCUUGUUUUUCCCAUAAACAAGGUGAGCCUUUGGAUGCAACUUUGAUCUUUCAUAUGGAGGAAGCACUGUUAAAGUCGUCGUCUCUAUUUCCUUACUUCAUGCUGGUGGCGUAUGAAGCCGGUGGCCUCAUACGAGCUCUAGUUCUUUUUCUUUCCUAUCCAUUUGUUUGUCUAUUUAGCAAGGAAAUUGGGAUCAAGAUUAUGGUUUUAAUAUGUUUCUGUGGGAUAAAGAAAGCAAAUUAUCGGCUCGGAAGAUCUGUUCUGCCUAAGUUCUUUCUUGAAGAUGUCGGUUGUGAAGGCUUCCAAGUUGUGAUGAAGUACAAGAAAAAGGUAGCAGUGAGUGAUAUGCCUAAUGUGAUGGUUGAAGGAUUUUUAAGGGAUUGUUUGGAUGUAAAAGCUGUUGUUGGAAGAGAUUUGAAGGUGGUUUUGGGUUAUUAUGUGGGCUUAAUGGAGGAAAAGAGAGACUUGAAUAUUGUUAUGAAUGAGAUAAUUGGACAGGAAAAUAUGAAUCCUCUUCUAGUUGGUUUUGGUUCAGCCAACAAGUGUCUUAAUCAGCAAAUUUUUCCUCAUUGCAAGGUUGGUGGUACCAGGUCUUAUGUCAAAAUGUUCAGUCUGAUCAUUAUUCUGGAAUUUCUAUGAAUAAUCUCGUGUUUCCUAUUGUGACAGGAGGUAUAUUUGGUAACUUCAGCUGAGAAGACGGGCUGGCGAAUACUUCCACGGGGAAAUUAUCCAAAGCCAUUAAUUUUCCAUGAUGGAAGAUUGGCCUUUAGGCCGACGUAUUCUGCUACAUUGUCUAUGUUUGUAUGGUUACCAUUUGGUUUUCUCCUUAGCGUCAUUAGGCUGUUUGUCGCCUCAUUUCUACCUUACAAAGUAGCCAUCCCAAUCUUGGCCUUUUCCGGGAUGGUAGGUUCGGUAUCUAGACGACGUUCCAUAGAUCCCACGAUCUGGGAGGCAAAAACCCAAGGUGUAGUUUAUGUAUCGAAUCACAGAACACUUCUGGAUCCAAUCUACAUUUCAUUGGCACUCAUGAAACCAGUCAUUGCUGUUACGUACAGUAUAAGCAGAAUAUCGGAGCUUCUCUCACCGUUAAAAAGCAUUCGACUAACUAGGGAUCGAGCAAAGGACUUAAAAGUAAUGGGGGAAGUUCUUUCCCAUGGAAAUAUUGUAGUUUGCCCUGAGGGAACCACUUGCAGGGAACCAUAUCUGCUGAGGUUUAGCCCUUUGUUCGCUGAAUUGAGCGACGAUAUAGUUCCAGUUGCCCUCGACUCAAAGGUGAGCAUGUUUUACGGAACAACUGCAAGUGGAUACAAAACUUUAGAUCCUCUAUUCUUUCUCUUGAAUCCUCGUACGAUUUACACUGUCAAUUUUCUCGAGAAGUUACCAAAAUCCCACGCGUGUACCAGUGGUGAAUUAUCGAAGUUUGAAGUGGCCAAUUAUGUGCAGAAUGGGAUAGCAAAAGCCUUGGGAUUUGAAUGCACAAACCUUACAAGGAAAGAGAAGUAUAUGCUUUUAGCAGGUAAUGAAGGGACUCUCUGAAAAUUGAAACAAUCAACUAUUACUGAUGUCUACAAGUACAUUCUGCAAAAAGAAAAACUAUUCGAGUUUAUUAUUAUCAUCAUCAUCAUCAUCAUCAUCAUCAUCAUCAUCAUCAUAAUCAUCAAAAUUUCGUGAAAUCAUAAGUAAAAAUGCACGUUAACAUGUUGCACGUUAGUAUCAAUAAUGCCGUAACAUGUGAAUUUUCGACACUUCCAGCAUUUAUAGAGGUACGAAAAGUUGGACUUUUUAGCGUUUGAAAAUUAUACGAAAUCGAUGAAAGAUGACAGAUUCUUUCCCAUGUUGUUAGAUGCUUUGCAAGCAGUUGAGGAUUUGAGUACUGACUUGCACCAUCAGACAAUAAUCACUUAUUUUUAAACACAAACAUUGCAAGAAACAGCAUAACGUGUACUGAUUUUGUUAUUUGAUUUCCUUGUCAUGCAUUCGUGCUCGCAAAGUGUCGAUGGACCUUAUCUUUGUUCAUUCACGAGCAAUUUCAUCAAGCUAAAUCUGCCCGGUCCGAUGGUAUUACAAUAUUGUAGCAUGUUAUGUGUGUUGAAAUAAUUCUAAUGUGGACUUACCAUUUGAUUGUGAAUUUUUACGGGCUAGAUAUGUAACUCAUAAUGAUAUUUUUGAUUUGGUUAAAUAUAUUAAAUGAUCAAUUGACCAUUUUACGCAUUACGGAUUAUAUUUAGGCCCCGUUUGCUUCCCAUUCUUUAUCUCUAAAAACGAAAAAUAUGACUGUUAUAAAUUACAUUAAACUAUUAUUUUUGACUUUUUCUCAUAUUUUUCAUUUUCAUUCUUAUAAAAAUGAGAAUCAAACAGAAGCUAAUACGAUGUGAUAAUUUUAAGUAUGUGGGCUAAAAAUAUAUGUAAACCUUAAUUAGAGUUUAAGUCAUAAUGAAACGGGUUGGACGGCUUGAUAAUUUCCUAUAUAAAGGCUAUGUCACAUCUCCUCUCCAUAUUAUUUUUAUUGACUUUUCUCAUUGACGGCUAAUACUUUGUGAGGAGUGAGGAAGAAAAGAUCUAACUACUAUUAUUCAUAUCAAUGAUUUAUUCUGCGUGUAUGAAUUCGUUUAACCAAUUAUUAUUUUGUGAUUCUUGUUCUUAACAUGAUCCUCGUUAAAUUCAACAAUUGUUAUCAAAACCUACAUGCUAAGAUGAGAUUCAAUGAAAAAAUUAAAAUUUAAAAAAAAAUAAUAAUAAUAAAUUCACUAUUAAUUGUUGCUUUUUACUAGUAUUUGGAAAAUCUAAUGGUACUCAGGCUCCUAUUACGCCAAUCAAUCACGUUCUCUACCAUACCAGGUAGUUAUUUCACCUCGUUGGCGAGCCGUAUUCGUUCGACGUUAGACGAGUUGUAAUUAAUGGGAAUAAGCAAAUUUAAUCUUCAGUGAUUUGGAAGUUAACUGGCUUUCAUCCAAUUUUCUGAAGAUUUUGAUAUGCUAUUCGUUAACUAUCGAUAUUUGAAUAAUAAUUUCUGUUGAUCUCGGAAAUUGGUCCUUCCACGUGGCCAACUGAAAGCUACUCCACGUAUUCCUCCAUGUGCACAAUCAACAAAUAGUCAGGCACACACGGUCGGAACCAACGGUGGCGGUGGCGGCUGUAUACACUCCGACGGUCAAGUCAGGUUUGGGUGAUCGGAACAGUACCCGGGGGCUAUACAAAUCGAUCAAUAAAGGGGGAGGAAAAUAUAUAAACUUGUUAUGGAGUGCUGUAUAUUAAGAGUUUCAUUACCUCUGCUUCUUGCCAAACCUUGGGUAUUUAUAGGUGGUAUGAACCGUUAGAUGUGGAACGCGUGUAUACAUCUGACGAUAUGAAGAGUCUGCUCAUAGGCGUCAAUCAAUCGCGUUCGUAGAGUGGGCGGACAGUUUGUUUCCUCUGAGUUGAAUUGACGUAAAGUUGAUAAGUCACAUCAACUAGCAUCAUGGAAACGUUAAAUCAAUUUAAGCCUUAGGUGUAGAAUAAAUCUCAAAUUGACGGCGGAUCUUCUAACCGGGUUCCACUUGAUCUCGACCUCGGAGGUGAGAUGUUUCGACAGAUCAGUAGUAGGAAUCGCUAUAUCACUUCGGAGAAGCUUCGGAAGGGUCGUUUUCAGGUCGGAAUAAAUGGUGCUGCGGGGGGUCCACUUGGUCUCGACCUUGGAGGUGAGAUGACACUUCGGUAUCCGAGGCGUAUAUAAUCGGAGCGUAACAGUGGUCCCCCAAGUCCGAGGAUGAAUAUUUAUAUCAUGCGUGGACUUGCUUUCCUGACCGGACCGCAAGUCAUGGGAGUUUUGGGGGUUGAUCCGUCACAGCAAUUGAGGUUAUGAUAAUAUGCAGAUGUACCAAAGCUUCGUUAUUGUGCGUAACGCUCGAGGCGGUCAAGCAGCAUGGGACGUCGCGUAAGGUGCACCGAAGGUUCGCGAAUAUGGUGCGCUGACCCAAAAGGUCGACGCAUGGGGAGAUGGUUGAAACUUUGUAAAGCAUGGGAGGAAACGCAGCGUCCGAGGCGAUGACCCAAUAGGGCCUUCGCGUCAGGUGCGUCCAAGCUUUGUAAAAUUGGAGGAAGAGCUCAUCUGCCACCGGUGCGCUGACCCAAAAGGUCGACGCGUGGGGAGAUGGCUGAAACUUUGUAAAACAUGGGAGGAAACGCUGCGUCCGAGGGGAUGACCCAAUAGGGCCUUCGCGUCAGGUGCGUCCAAGUUUUGUAAAGUUGGAGGAGGAGCUAAUCUGCCACCGGUGCGCUGACCCAAAAGGUCGACGCGUGGGGAGAUGGCUGAAACUUUGUAAAAUAUGGGAGGAAACGCAGCGUCCGAGGCGAUGACCCAAUAGGGCCUUCGCGUCAGGUGCGUCCAAACUUUGCAAAGUUGGAGGAAGAGCUCAUCUGCCACCGGUGCGCUGACCCAAAAGGUCGACACGUGGAGAGAUGGCUGAAACUUUGUAAAGCAUGGGAGGAAACGCGGCGUCCGAGGCGAUGACCCAAUAGGGCCUUCGCGUCAGGUGCGUCCAAGCUUUGUAAAGUUGGAGGAGGAGCUCAUCUGCCAUCGGUGCGCUGACCCAAAAGGUCGACGCGUGGGGAGAUGGCUGAAACUUUGUAGAGCAUGGGAGAAAACGCAGCGUCCGAGGCGAUGACCCAAUAGGGCCUUCGCGUCAGGUGCGUCUAAGCUUUGUAAAGUUGGAGAAGGAGCUCAUCUGCCACCGGUGCGCUGACCCAAAAGGUCGACGCGUGGGGAGAUGGCUGAAACUUUGUAAAGCAUGGGAAGAAACGCAGCGUCCGAGGCGAUGACCCAAUAGGGCCUUCGCGUCAGGUGCGUCCAAACUUUGUAAAAUUGGAGGAGGAGUUCAAUCCGAGGCGACCCAAACGUCAAAUGAUUUGACAACUGUUGCGUGUUUUCAAGGUGACAGUUGGGUGCCAUGCCCAUUCUCCUAAAAGGCUGCUGCGGCUCUUACAACCAAAGCAUCGCAAUGGGGGUGGUGAACUCCAUCUGAGUCUUCUUGGGAGAAGGUGAUCGGGGCCAUCUUGUUUGCUGAUUUCGAUUCGUCAACAAUGUAAGUGAUCAUCGGGGGAUCCUUAGCUUCUCUUGUGUAAUUUCUCUGGGCAUUCCUAGUGUUGCCACCGACGUGGGGUCCCGCAAUGAUGGUAUGGAUUUUCCUGAUGACCUGGCCUCCCGAAAAUGGGGCUUGGUUCCCCUACCUGGAUUGGCCUCGGUUCCGCAAUUCUCUUCUACGAGGAGAUUGUUCCUGGUGACCUCUCCCUCCCCUCCUCGUGGAGGUGGAUCUGCGAGGGUGUUCGUUUCUGCUGGAAGUGUGAGGGUUGCUUCGAUCAGGGCGCCGAUUGGCAUCACGACACUCGCUGGUGUCAUGUCCGUAUAGUUGAUGGAAUGUACAAAACCUUGCUCCUGCCAAGGGUUUGUUUGGCCUCUUUUUCUUCUUCUUAUUGUUAUCAGUUCUUUCAGAUGGUCUCGCCUCAGCAGGGGCAUUAUCAUAUGCCAACACCGGCACUGCAUUCAAUGUGGCGGAAGCUAGGGCCUGUCCGGAUGUGGGAGCUAUGGUAUGCCCUGCUUGGGUCCAUUGCUGAGUGACAAGGUGUGCUGCGGGGCCUCGACCUACCUGCCUCUGAGGAGGAGGGAGUCCCUGCGCGGCACGAUUGCGAUGAUCAAUCAUUUCUUCACUAACAAUUUCCACUCUCAUCAUUUCCACCAGCUCGUCGUAUGUGGAGGGAUUCUUGCUACUCACGUCCCUCCAAAACAAAAUGUUCAUGUUGAGCCCACCUUUCACUGCUGAAAGGGAUUCCCUGUCAGUAACAUGUUCGCAGUAAGUAAUUUCGUCUGUAAACCUAGCGAGAUAGCUUUUUAGCGUCUCUCCAGGGGCCUGCCUCAUGUCUUGCAGGCGUUGAAUUGGCGCCUCUCCUUCCCUGCGUGAAAGGUACUGGUUCAAAAAUGCUUUCUUCAAGUCUGGCCAACUUCUGAUGCUUAGGGAAGAAGCCUGUUGUACCAUACCUCGGCAGCUCCGCCUAGUGUUAAUGGAAGGCUCUGCAUUUUAGAGCAGGCGAGGCUCCCCUAAAGCUCAUUUGUGUCAUAUACUUUGUGAGGUGCUUCUCCGGAUCCCCCUUUCCCUCAUACUUGGGGAUCUUAGGGGACAUGAAGUUAGCUGGCAUUGGGAAGCUUCGAAUCUCCCUUGAGAAAGGGAGGUUAUCGUCAUCGUCGUCAAUCUCAUAAGAUCGACAGGGCCCCUCUGACUCUUCAUCAUCUUGGAUGUCCUGGGGUGGUGGAGGUGCUUUUCCUCGACUCCCCCAAUCGACUAGGUUUCUCCUAUCCCUCCUAUUUUUAGGAGGAGGAGGGGGAACAUGCUCUUGUUCGCGAUCCGAACGAACUGUCCUCUUGCUGGGCGGACCCUAUUGUUAGGAUCCUCCCCUAUCCGGUCGAAGGCGCUUACCGACCUUUGGUCGUCGUGUUCUUAAGGAAAGUUGUCCCCCAAGGGUGGUUCUGAUGGAUGACUCCCUUGCACAUAAGAUGUUGCUUCGGCGUUCAUCUCUCUUUCGAGAAGGCAUUCUGUGUGCCGACUCAUGUAGCCCCGAGAGUGAGAUAAAGGGAUUUCCUGCACCGAAUAAGAUCCUUGGGGCCUUUGGUAGCUCUGGUGUCCCUGGGCUUGCAUGAGGAGUUCCUGCAUCGCCAUAUUCUGAGCUGCUAUGUCUCUCAUACCCGCAGCUAUCUGAGUCAUUCCUUCAGUGAGUAUGGCUAUUCUUCCGCCUCGGCGAUGCCGGUGAUGCGGUCUUUGAUGAGUAACAUUGUUAUGUAGUACCUCUUCUUCAGAUGCCUCUCUCAUGGGAUUGUCGUCUUCAUGGCUGUAGCUCAUACUACCUCUUUUUUUUCAAGGGUAGUAAGAACUUGAAUUGUAAUUCGAUUUUGUUCUUUUUCAAGAAUGCCCCCUUUUCAGGGGUAGUCGCCGAUUUUCCGGUAUCUUCUCUGAUGGAGAACGCAAAACUUCAAAUGGGGAGUGUUUCCCAUAGACGGCGCCAAUCUGUUGAUCUCGGAAUUGGUCCUUCCACAUGGCCAACUGAAAGCUACUCCACGUAUUCCUCCCUGUGUACAAUCAACAAAUAGUCAGGCGCACACGGUCGGAACCAACGGGGGUGGUGGCAGCCGUAUACACUCCGACGGUCAAGUCAGGUUUGGGUGAUCGGAACAGUACCCGGGGGCUAUACAAAUCGAUCAAUAAAGGGGGAGGAGAAUAUAUAAACUUGUUAUAGAGUGCUGUGUAUUAAGAGUUUCAUUACCUCUGCCUCUUGCCGAACCUUGGGUAUUUAUAGGUGGCAUGAACCGUUAGAUGUGGAAUGCGUGUAUACAUCUGACGGUAUGAAGAGUCUGCUCAUAGGCGUCAAUCAGCCACGUUCGUAGAGUGGGCGGACAGUUUGUUUCCUCUGAGUUGAAUUGACGUAAAGUUGGUAAGUCACAUCAACUAGCCUUAUGGAGACGUCAAAUCAGUUUAAGCCUUAGGUAUAGGACAAAUCUCAAAUUGGCGGCGGAUCUUCUAACCGGGGUCCACUUGAUCUCGACCUCGGAGGUGAGAUGCUUCGACAGAUCAGUAGUAAGAAUCGCUAUAUCACUUCGGAGAAGUUUCGGAAGGGUCGUUUUCAGGUCGGAAUAAAUGGUGCUGCAAGGGGUCCACUUGGUCUCGGCUUCGGAGGUGAAAUGACACUUCGGUAUUCGAGGCGUAUAUAAUCGGAGUGUAACAAUUUCCUUGUUCGUAAAAGGGAAACUCUUAUAUAGGGUUUGUGAAUUGUUUGGAGAUGGGGGCUUCCAAUGUAAAUAAUUAAGUUACAAGCCCCCGGUUUGAAUUAUCUUUCGAGGGUUAAAUUUACAUUUUUUAAAAGGAGGGCCUUCUAGAAAUUUGGAAAAUUUGGAGGUUCUGUUUGCAAUUUGAACCAAGGUCAUAUUGCAAAUUUCAAAAUGGUUUUUUAUUUAAAUAUGAAAAAGAGGUUUUAAAUUUGAUUUUUAAAAUAUUUGACCCAAAAGAUAUCAAUUUUGAUCAAUUUAAAAUUUUAUUUAAAGUUGACCCCUUUAAAAUUAUAUCAAAUUCAAAAUAAUAAUAAUAAUAAUAAUAAUAAUAAUAAUAAUAAUAAUAAUAAUAAUAAUAAUAAUAAAAAAUUUGAUUGACGACUUUCAUGUUUUCGUUAAAUGUUUAUCUAUUUAAGUGUCGCUAUUAUUUAUGCGCUUAAAUUUUAUUUUUUAUAUAUAUUGAAAUUUUGUUGUCAAUUUUGUAUCUCAAUCACAUGUGAAUUUUUUCCUUCAUUGAUUAAUGAUUAUAAUUGUUGCAUAACUAUUAUUUUGUGAUUGAAUUUUUAAUGGACUUUGAGACAAUCCUUAUUUUUCCCACUAAGGAAAAUAUUUAAAAUAAAAAUGGGUAGUAGCUGUCAAAGUGACACACUUAUUAUUAUUUAUUCCUUUUGUAUCUUGCCCAAAUAUGUUAUUAUAUGUGAUGCGUUGGAAAAUGGCAUAAGGCGGUUAAUGAGUUUACUUUAAUCUAUAAAUCUCCUUCUGUCAAAAAGUGUUAGUGAUUCGAAAAUUAAAGUAAUUUUGUUAACUAACUACAUGAUGUGUUUUAAGAGUACUUUAUAACAUGUUUUAUUGUCAGCCCAAGGGUGACUUUAUGAUGAUGUAUCUAGACUGUUACAGUAAUAAGAUUCAUAUGGUUUUAAUCUUAAUAACGGAUUAUCUAAUUAAUAGCUCAUGUUAAUUAGAUAGAUAUUUUAUUAUUCAUCGACUGCAUGUAUUAUAUUUGAAUGAUAUUAAAUAUGAUAUUUUAUAUUUUCACAGUUUAUAAUGCAUCAUCUCUUUCAAGUCAACAGUCUGCUAUUGAAACCUUGACUAAGAAUAAUUAUGUGAGAUGAAAAUGACGCGUAGAAAUAGUAUUUGGUUUUCUAGGCUUGAAUUUUGCAAUGGAGAAAAAGCUUUCGAAACCCACAUAUAAGAGUACUCUUGAAUAUGUUGCCGAGUAUGAAAAGUGGGAAAGGGCCAAAAAACUCUAUUUGAAAAUUAUUAAGCGCUCUAUAUCCGAUUUCAUUAUGGGUGUUAUCCUAAAUAAUAAAAAUGUCAAAGGUUUUAUGGAUGUCAUAUGAGAGAGUUAUUUAGUCUGAUAAAAUUGAAACUGGAGAUUUGAUGAAUAAAUUAAUGAAUAUGAGAUAUGAUGGUACAAUUGGUGUUUGGGAGCACGUCAUGAAGAUAAUAAAUAUAUCAUCUAAACUAAAAACUCUAGACAUUCCUAUUGCAGAACCUUUCUACUUUAUCAUGUUUUAAAUAUCCUUUCGAGCCAAUUAGAUCAACUUAAGGUCGCAUAAAAUGCUCAGCGGAACAAAUGGAAUUUAAAUAACCUUAUUACAGUAUGUACCCAAGAGGAGUAUAGGAUGCGGUAUGAGACUGUAAAAACUGUGCAAUUAGCUUUUCACCUGUCACAAAACAAAUGGUUUUCAUAUAACCAUAAGUCUAAGUUCCGUAAGAGUAAUAAGUUACAUCAAAAUCAGCAGAAUAAAAAAUUUUGUGGUCCCAAAAGAAUUAUAAAGAAAAAUGAUCAAUGCAAGUUUUGCAAAAAGAAAGGUCAUUGACAGAAAGACUAUUUUAAGUUUAAGACUUGAUUAGAAAAUAAGAAGAGUUCUGCAGGAAUUCACAAGCAAAUUGAGGUCAAGUGAGAAUGAAGUGAGCUUAUGUGCUGGAAAUAGAGUUCAAGUGAAGGUUGAAUUCACAGGAGCAGUGAAGUUGUCUUUAGAAUCUAAUUUUUCUCGCAAAUGAGAUGGAACUUAAUUCUAUAUCAAAACUUGAUGCUUGUGGUUUUUCUUUUUAAUUUUGGUGAUGGAAUGGUUGAGUCAUUUUAUGACUCUUGUUUGAUUGAGAAUGAACUUUUAUGUGAUGAUCUAUAUAAAUUGUCUUCGACUCCUUUUGGUGAACUACCUUUUGUUACCAAUGUAUCAAAGAAAAUGGCUCUAAUCCGUAAAUUGUCAUCUAUGUUGUGACAUAAACGAUUGGGUCACAUUUCAAGGGAUAGAAUGGAAAAAUUGGUAAAAGUUGAGAUACUUCCCUCUCUAGACUUCUCUGAUUUCGACACCUAUGUGGAUUGUAUAAGAAAAAAUCUAACUAAGUCUACAAGAAAAGGUUCCACUAAGAGCGAUAGUAUUUUGGACUUGAGACGUACUGAUAUCAGUGGACCUUGCCCUCCACCAUAUGUGGAAACAAAUAUUUUAUAACCUUUAUUGAUGAUUUCUUACGAUAUGAAUAUGUUUACUUGAUUAAUAACAAAUCACAACCGCUUGAAAAAUUCAAGAUUUUCAAAAUGGAAGUAGAGAAACAAUGUGUAAAAAGUAUAAAAAUUGUAAGAUCCGACCAUGGUGGUGAGUAUUAUGGGAAAUAUGACAAGAAUGGUCAAAACGUGGGUGAUUUUACAAAGUUUUACAAGAGUGUGGAAUAGUGCCUUAAUACACCAUGCUAAGGACACCUGACCAGAAUGAUAUUUCUAAAAGACGUAAUCGAAGUCUGAAAGAUAUGGUCAAGACCAUGAUGAGUAGAACAAAUUCGUCAGAGUAUCUAUGGGGUGAAGCUUUGAAAACUACUAUGUACAUCUUGAACAAAGUUCCUAGUAAAGUUUUUGCAAAGACACCUUUUGAAUUAUGGACAGAACAUAGACAAGUUUGGCCCAUUUUAAGAUUUUGGAGAUGUCCAGUUGAGGUUAGGAUUUAUAAUCCAUUUGAAAAUAAAUUAUAUCCAAAAUUUACUUCUGGUUACUUUAUUGGGUACCCAAAGAGAUCAAAAGGAUAUAAAUUCUACUGUCCAAAUCGUGGCACUAGAAUUGUUGAGUCUAUUACUACUAAAUUUCUGAAGAAUGAUCUUGGAGAUAGUAGGAGUUCUACAUUAGGAGAACUUUUUGUUGAACCAAACAAGUUGUUGUUCCAUUUCCUAUUAUACAUGAAAAAGUUGGUUCUUAGCUAGUUGAAGUUGUUAAUGAAGAAUUGAGGAACGAAGAUGAACUUUCAAUUCCUUCUCCAACAAUGAUAGAGUCAAUUUCUGAACCACAAGUCAGAAGAUUGCAUAGGAAAAUGAGAUUUACAUUGCCCAGUGAUUAUAUUACAUAUUUAUUGGAUAGUGAUUUUAAUAUUGGGCACGUUGUUAAUCAUGUAACUUAUAAUCAAACAUUGACAAAUCUUGAGGCAGAUAAAUGGAUAAAUGCCAUGGAAGAUGAAAUGAAUUUUAUGGCAUGCAAGGAAGUUCGGGAACUUGUUGAACUUCCGUCAGAUUCUAAAGCUAUAGAUAACAAGUAGAUUUUCAAAAGUGAGUUGAAUUUGAAAGGGAAUGUUGAACAAAAAAUAAAGGCAAGAUUAGUUGCAAAAGGUUUCACUCAGUGGGAGCGUAUUGAUUAUGUUGAAACCUCCUAACUUGUCUCGUUUAAAGAUUCUUUUCGAAUUAUCAUAGCUCUUGUGGCACACUAUAAUUUGAAACUUCAUCAUCUGUAUGUUAAGACAUCAUUUUUAAAUGAGGAUCUUCUGAAAAGGUUUACACGAGACAACCUGGAGGCUUUGUUCUUAAGGGAAAAGAAAGUUUCGUAUGCAAGUUAAACAAAUCAUUAUAUGGCCUCAAGCAAGCAUCUUAACAGUGGUAUUUAAAGUUUGAGGAGAUUGUAACUUCUCUUGGUUUUGUUGAAAAUGCAGUUGAUCAAUGUAUUUAUCUCAAAAUCAGUAGGAGAAAUAAUAUUUUUCUUGUCCUAUAUGUUGAUAACAUUUUGCUUGUUAGUAGUGACUUGAGAUUGCUUCAUGAGACAAAGAGAAUGUUGUCUACCAAUUUUAAGAUGAAAGAUCUAGGAGAAGCUUCUUAUGUGUUUGACAUUGAAAUACUCGUUUGACAUUGAAAUACUCGUAAUAGAAAUCGUGGCUUGAUAGGACUUUCUCAGAAAUCUUAUAUACGACGUAUUCUAGAAAGGUUCAAUAUGUAGAAUUUUGCACCUAGUGAUGUACCUAUUAUAAAAGGGGUAAAUUUAACAAAACUCAAUGUCCAAGAAAUGAGCUAGAAAUAGAAUCUAUGAAGAUGAUACCAUGUAUUUGUAUUGUGGGGAGCUUGACAUAUGCUCAAGUUUGCACUAGACCAGAUAUAACCUACGCAGUCAGUAUCCUUAGUAGGUUUCAAUCAAAUCCAGGACAAGAGUAUUGGAAAUCGGCUAAGAAAGUUAUGAGGUACUUGAAGAAAACUGGAGGUUAUAUGCUUUCUUUCCAGUAUUCACAUCAUCUUGAGGUGGUAGUCUAUUCAGAUUCUAAUUUUGUUGGAUUUCAAAAUGAUUUGAAAUCAACCUCAAGUUAUAUUUUCAUAUUAGUUGAUAGUGCAAACAGACUCUAGUGACAUCUUCUACUAUGCAAGCGAAUUUGUGGCAUGUUAUGGGGCUACAAUCCAAGUCGUUUGGUUAAGAAAUUUCAUUUCUAGAUUGAAAGUUGAUGAUUCCAUCUCAAAAUCAAUCACUAUUUAUUGUAAUAAUAGCACAACAAUGUUCUUUUCAAGGAAUAUUAAAGCUCUGGUUGGUCAAAAUAUAUUGAUAUCAAAUAUUUGGUAAUUAGAGAAAGAGUCAAGGAAGGGCAGACGAGUAUAGAAUAUAUUAAUAGAGUCGAUGAUUGCGGAUUGUUUGACCAAGAGACUCGCUCCAAAAGUCUUUAAAACAAAUGUUAUUAAUAUGGGUAUUUUGGAAACCUUUGAUGUUUUUGGUUAGUAGGAUUUAUAUAUGUAAAUUAACUUCAUCUUGGCUUGAUCCCUUCACGAGGUACGUAGGUGAUAAUUGUGUUUUCACACACUUAUUUAAUGUUUAAAUAUGUUUAUUAUUGAUGAAAUGAUUGAAAUUCUACUCACAAUUAUGUAACAUUUACUUUUGUAGGCCAAAAAUUGCCAAUGAAAUGAGAAUAAAGCAAAAUAAGGAGAAAAUGACUAAAAUUGUGCAAAAAGUGAAGUUGGGGGACAAAAAUAAACAACUUAAGAAAGUUUAAGGACAUUGGAUGCAAUUUAUGGAGGACAAAAUUGAAAUGAAAGUCAAAAUUUGAGGACCCAAUUAGAUGCAGCAGAAGUUGAAGGACCAAUCAUGCAAUUCUUUAGAGACCAAACUGAAAGGAAGAAAAAAAUGCUAAGAAGCACCUAAGCCCGCAGCUAAGGCGCACGCCUUAACCCUAAAUUUGGGUAACAAUUUUGAGUAACAGAGGAUAACCAAAGUGUUAAGGUGCGGAUCUCAUUUUGUACUAUGCGCGUGCCUUAGGUUGAAAUUUAGGACCUGUGCAUAACAUUUUAAUUUUUUCAAGGACUCUUCUUGAACUUUGGUUGGGACGGUUUUUAUCCUUUUUAAACACCAUUUUCUACUAUUCUUCCUCUUUUCUUCUUCAUUUUUCUUUUUCUUUCUUCUUUCUUUUUCUCUUUCAUUUUCUUAGAUUUUGGGGACAACCAAGAGCACAAGGAGAAUAUAUUUGAGAGAUAAAUGGUUGGAAAAAAUCAAGAUCAAGCCAUCAAGAAUUCAAAUCCAAAAGGUAAUUAUCUUCACUCUUGUAUUAUCUUCUUUAUUAUUGUUUUCUAUUUGCAAUGUAUUGUGUAAAAUAUUCUGAUUUCUACAUAACAUAGGCUAAUUUAUUGUGUUGGGAUUUAUAGUAUUAGUUUAAUCUAAUUUUUAAUUAAUUUUAAUAUUUGCUCUUUAAUAUUAAGUUAGUUGUUUCAAGUAUUUUUACUAUUGUUAUUAUUGCAUUUUCAUUUAUGUGGUCAAUGAAUAAUUAUGUUUAGUGACCCAUUAAGCUAUUUUCAAAAAUAUUUAUUGCAGUUAUUUAGUUUUAAUCGACAUAGAAAUAUAGUAGGUUAAACAAAUCAAGUAGAGUUAAUUUUGUUCGAAAGAGGUAAUUAACUAAAAUUGAAAAAUCGAGUCUAACAUCAUAAAUAAGUAGCUGGUUAAUAGGCUUGUGGAGAAAUUAAUUAGGCAAUGGUUAAGCGAAAUCAUAAAUACCAAUCACGUUUUCUUCCAAAAUUUUCAAGAUUUUUAUAUUUUCUUAUUUUGUAGAUUCAUAGUUAAUUUUUCUUAUAUUCCAAAAUGUAACUUUAUUGUGUGUUUGUUUUUAUUGUUAAAAUUAAAUUAAUUAAAGUUGUGUAAUUGAAAGUUAACAUUCCUCGAAAGGUCGACAAUCCGGACUCAAAAAGCAACCCAUAUGUUUUUUUUCGGGUAUAGCUUCUUCCAAUAAUAAAAUAUAUUUUUCCCUAUCCAUGAAUUAUUUUGAGUAUGCAUUUGACCUAUAUCUUUUAUUAAGAUAUUAUUGUAAUAUCGAGGUGUGACAAAUAAAGAUAUAAGAUGAGUCUUUCUUAGGGAUAUGUGGUUUUAUUUUGAUUUGAAGCAUUAUGAGAACCGAUACGAAGUAGCACCGUUUUUUAUCACAUCUAGUGCUAAGUUCAUACUACAUUGGUUGGAGGAUAGGAAUCCAUGUCAAUAAGGAUGUUGGCAUUUGUAGCUGUGGAAUGGUCUUACAUCAUUUAAUUGGUCUAAUGACUUUCAUGUUCAAUGUUGACAUUCUUGUUGGAUCGGAUCAUGUUACGUAAAGUAUCAUCGUUGGAGCUAUACGUGUAUGGCUACCUAUGUAGUCUAACCUGAGUGUUAAAAGUUUUGUUAUAACAAUAAAAUGUUUGUCCAAGUGGGAAAAUGUUGGAAUAAUUCUAAUGUGAGCUUCCCAUUUGAUUGUGAUUUUUAUGAACUAGAUGUAUGAUUCAUAAUGAUUUUUUGAUAGGACCAAAUAUAUUAAGUGAUCAAUUGUGCCUUUUACACCUUAUGGGCUAUAUUUAAUAUGAUGUUGUAAUUUUAAGUAGGUGGGCAGGAAAUAUAUGUAAAACUUAAUUAGAGUUUUAUGUCGUAAUGGACGGAUUGAUAAUUUUUUAUAUAAAGGUUAGGUCACAUCUCCUCUCCAUAUUGUUUUUAUUAGCUUGCUCCAUUGAUGAUUGAUAUUUUGUGAGGAGUAAGGAGGGGAAGAUCUAGCUUUUAUUAUUCAUAUCAUCAAUAUCUUCCGCAGGUAUGAAUUCGAUUAAUCAAUCAUCAUGUUGUGAUUUUUGUUCUUAGCAUGAUCAUCAUUAAAUUCAACAACGUGUUGAUGAAUGUGAUUUCAAGAGAGUGAAAAUGGAGAUAAAAUGUUUUUCAAACUCAAAAUCCAAUGGUCUAAACUUGUACAUGGUCUAAUGUUAACACACUUGUUUCUUGAAUGACUUAAGAAGAUUUAUGGCGCUUCGUAUUAGAUUGGAUAAGAAUUAAAAUAAUUCUAUCUAAUUCUUAUUGAGUGUUUAGGGCAAUUAAUUAAUUAAUCUAAGGUGCUUGUCCUCCCUUAUUCUGUUAUUCGAAUAUAUGAAAUUAAUACGUUAUAUAAUGGUGGAUUAGGGCCGUAUUAUUUGUUCUCUCAUUUAUUAUUAAGAAAAUAUUUGUUAAAUUGAACUACAUAAAUUUACUUACAAAUAAAUAAGAGUCAAGAAUUUCAUUUAUAAGUUAAAAAAAUAACUUAUAAGGAAAAUAAUCAUUUUUAAUGAAAAAUUUAUGAUGAGUAAAAAAAAUUAAUUACAAACAAAAGAAUUUAUAUAAAUGAUUAUUUCUCUUAUAACUUUUGUGUAAGUUAAAAAAAGUUAUCCUAUGAGUAAAAAUAACUUAUAAGUUAUGAAAAGCUUAUGUAAUUAGAAAACAACUUAUAAGUUCAAAAAUUAUUUUAUAACUAAAAUAUUUACUCAUCUGUCAAAAAACGCUUGUACGUAAAACUGCAUAAAAAUACUUAGAAGUGAAAUAUUUCAAAGCCCUCAGCAUUGCUCCUAUGGCUUCCACAACCCAUUUACCUUCUCUCCCCUUCUUUCUACCUCUAAAAAUCCAAUAAAAAAAAAAUCCCAAAUUGUUGUAUCUUUUACCAAACCUCAAAUUCAAGCGAAAACUCGCGCAACAAGCACGGAUUUGGUUGGUGAUUUUGGAUCCAGGGAGCAGAGAUAGAAAGCAAUGUUGGCGAGAAAAUGCUGGGAAAUGUAUGCAAUGAGCAUAAGAUUUUGAUUCCAACUGCUGACCUUUUGUCUCUCUCACAACAACAGUGUACUCUCGCUUCUCAUCUUCAGCAACCUAUACCUGAGGAUGAAGCUAAUAAGAUGAUGUUCAAUUCUUGGUGAUAGGUCUCAAUUCUCCCUUCCGGUUCCCCACUCUAUCGGUUAAGAGUCAUCUUCCACUGAUGCCAAUUUGAUAAACUCUUGUAUCAAUGUCUAUUUUCCAACAAAAACAAGAGCAAAUAUGAAGGUAGAAACCAGAAACAAGAGGAUUUGGAUGAGAACAUCAAUUGUAUUUUUGUAAAUUGCAUUGACGAUGUUGAAUGAUAGAUGAUUUAUAUAGGAUUACCAAGCUUUGAUGAAGAGUGAUGGUGUUUAUACAUUUUUUUAAUUUAAAUUUUGUGACACCUUCAUAAAAAGCGACAGAGCAUGUUGUGACAUUUUUUUAAUUAAAAUGUCAUACACAAUCAAAUUCUAAUUAAACAAUACAUCUUCAAUUAAGCUUUUAAUUUGUUUAUAAGAAUUUGUUUUAAACGUUAAUUUCUAUCAUUUUUGAGUGACAAAUAUCAAUUUUUAAAUAAAAAAGUGGCAUUGAGUGUUUGUCACUUUUUUUUUAUUUUCUAUCACUUUUUUGAAUUUAUGUUUUUUUUUAAUUCGUCACUUUUUUAGUAUUUGUCAUUUAAAAAAAAAUAGUCACUAUUUUUUUUAGUAUUUGUCACUUUUUUCAAGUUAUCUUCUUGAUUUCUAUCAUUUUUUUAGUAACAAACAUCAAUUUUUAAGAAAAGUGACAUUGUAUCACACUUAACUUUUAAAAGUGACAUUGUAGCACACAAUAUUUUUUUAUUUUCAAAAAACUUUUCACAUGAUUUUUCAAAAGACAUCCAAUUUUAAAGGUAUUUUUUUAAGUUGCCCAUUCAUUUAUAAGACAAUAAUUAUUACAUAAGUAUAAAAAGCCAAUUAUACAAAACCUUCACUUAUAAGUAAAAAUACUUAGAAGUUAAAAGUUUAUUUACAAGCAAAAAAAAAUUAAUUGUAAGCAAAAAAUUCAUUUUUAAGUUAAAAAAGUUCACUUAUAGGUACAGUUAAACCUCGAUAAAGUAAUACUCUCGAGACCGGAAAAAAUAUUCAUUUAGCGAGGUUAUUUAUUUAUCAAUAAAUGAAUAAAUUAUUCAUUUAUUGAUAAAUAAAUAUUUAUUAUUUUAGAGAGAGCUUUUCAAUUAAAAUAUGUACAUUGUAUGUGGUAAGAAAAAUCAAAAGACACUAAUCAAAGUAUUAUUUGAAUCUAGGAAAGCUCAAUAGUUUUAAUGAAAUUUAAUGUCUCUAAAAACUAAGUUUACGUACAUAGCAAAUGAAAGGUUUAGUCUUUACCUAUAAAAGCUAGAUGUUUGGAAAAUAUAUUCCAAGCACAUACAAUAUUUUGUUUCCCCUCCAAUAUCUUCUCAUCAUUUGAAAGGAGUAAAAAAAUCAACUUUAACCGAUAAAAUGAGAAGUGCAAUAUGUGAACAUAAGAAAGAGAAUCCAACUAUUAGCCAAAAAGAUAUGCAAGCAUGGGUGCAACAAAAGUUUGAUUUGACAAUUAAUCAAUCAACAAUAUCGAACACUCUCAAAAGGGCGUCGGAAUAUUUGUCAAAUAAGAUGAAAAAUAGCGAUGUUAAAAGGCACAAAUCGGUAAAAUACCCUGAUUUAGAGAAAGUUUUGUAUGAGUGGUUUCUUCAAAGGCAAGAUAAAGUGAACAUGUCUGGAGAAAUUAUCCAAGAAAAAGCAAAAUAGCUUUUGCAAAAAAUGUAUGGUGAAAUUAAUCCAAAAUUCAGCUUUUCUAGUGGAUGGUUAGAACGUUUCAAGGUAAGAUAUGGAAUCAAAUCUUACCGACGUUUUGGUGAAAGUGGUUCAGUUAUCUUGGAGAACAUUGAAAAUGCUUUACCUGGAAUACGAUCAAAACUAGACCAGUUUCAGUUGAAAGUUAUUUACAAUAUGGAUGAAACUGGAUUAUUUUACCGAUUGGAAGCUGAUCAUUCACUUGCUACCAAACAGCUCGAAGGACGCAAAAAAAAUAAGGAGAGAAUUACUGUUGUUGUUUGUUGCAAUGGUGAUGGAUCUGACAAAAUACCACUUUGGGUUAUUGGUAAGUAUGUAAAUCCUAGAUGCUUUAAAAAUGUGAACAUGAACAAUCUUAAUUGCAAGUAUCGAUCCAACAAGAAAACUUAGAUGACUGGCUUGCUUUUUCAAGAUUUUGUUGGUUGGUUUGAUAAGAGAAUGAAUGACAAGAAGGUUCUCUUAAUAGUAGACAAUUGCCCAACUCAUCCAAAGGUAGUUGAAAGUUUGAGAAAUGUAGAGUUAUUUUUCUUACCUCCUAACACAACGUCUAAGAUUCAACCAUGUGAUGCUGGGAUUAUUCGAGCAUUCAAAACUCAUUAUCGUCAUCGUUUUUAUUCUAGCAUCUUACAAGGCCUUGAGGUUGAAGCACCAAAUCCUGAAAAAUUAAUAUUUUGAAUGCUAUUAAUUUUGCUAACAUGGUUUGGAAUUUUGAUGUGAAGACAACAACAAUUGCAAAUUGUUUUCGACAUUGCAAGAUUCGGUCAGAAGAAAACAAUUUUCCCGAACCAGAAGUUGGUGAAUUAGAUGAAGGUAUCCAAGGAUUAAAUGAUGUCAUCUCUAAUUUAUACUCUAAAAAUGUGAUGGAUGUUGAACAUCUUUUGAACUAUCCUAGCGAGAAUGAUGCAGUUAUGAAAUCACCUACAGACGAAAAAAUUAUUCAAUCGGUAAUGAACAGUAAUGAUGAUAAGAAUGAUCAUAAACCAGAUGAUAGUAGCGUUGUCCCAAAUGUGUCGUCAAAAGAGGCAUUUCAAGCAAUAGUCACUUUAAGCAACUACUUACUACAAUACGAGUAAAAUAUUCUGGAAGUUGUGUAUGCUCUAUAAAAAGUUAAGGAUGGGGUUCAUUUUGGUUUAGGUGGGAAGAAAAAACAAUCAACUAUAGAUGCAUAAUUUCAAAAGGAAUGAUUAUUGUACGAGUAUUAUUGAUUGAUUGAAAGAUUUUGGUCUAUAUAUAUAUAUAUAUAUAUUCUCAAUAAAAUCCAAUAAAUAUUACUUUAUAUUUUUAUUGGACCCUUAAGGAUUCAAUUUUUUUUAUUACUUAAUGCAUUUAGCGAGGUUAUUACUUUAAUCCAUUGGCUCAAGUCGGGAUCAAAAGAAAUUAUUAUAUAAUCGAGAUUAUUAUUUUAUCGAAUAUUACUUUAUCGAGGUUUAACUGUACUUGUAAGUUAAAAAUUGGGAAAAUUUCAUAAGUAAGAGAUGAAGUAUGUCAUAUUUCAAAAUUAAGAAAACAAGUUUUAAAUUUCAAAAAUCAGAUUUUUAUUAAAAUUUAUUUAUGAUUUAAGUAAUUAAUUAAUUAUUUUAUUAAUUAAAUAAAUUUAGGUUACAUAUCUAUACAAUUUGGUCACAAAUUAACAAUUUAAUUGUCACUUAUAAUUUUUUGGUCACAAAUAAGAAAAUUUACAUGGCAAAUUAUUUUACGAUCACAAAUCAAAAAUUUUGUAGAUCACAGUUCGUUUAUCGAUCACAAAUCAAAAAAUUAAUUAGUCACGAUUAAUUUUUAGUCACAACUUAUCAAAUUAUUGGUUACAACUUAUUGCUCGGUUACAAAUCAAAAAUUUUAUAAGUCACAUAAUAUUUUUCCGUUACGAAUCAAAAAUUUUAUAGGUCACAGAUCACAACUCAUUAUACAGUUACAAAUUAUUAAUUUUUUAGGACACACAGUAUUUCUUGGUCACAAUUGAUCUUUUUCAUUAGUCACAUAUUGUUUAUUGAUCAAAGAUUAACCAAUUCACUGGUCACAAUCAACCAAAUAAUCUAUUAUCACCACCAACACUUACGAUCACCACUUCAACGUUGCCUCCAAUAGUACCAUCACCACCGUCAACGCCAAAACCACCACCACCAUAUUGAUCACAAAUUAAUCAAUUUAUUGGCCACAACUUUCAAUCAACCAAUAGAAUCGUCACAAACACCUACACCCCAUCCCACCACUCUAAAGCACCGAACAAUCACCAACCACCAUUUCAGCCACCAGCGACAUGGCCCACUACCAACACUGUGGACAUCACCACCACCACCACCACUUUCCGAUAGUUCAAAUAGUUGGUUACAAACACUUUCGUACCACACCGCCAGCCACUAUCACCACACCACUGCCACCGGAGUGCCGCCAACACUACCAACCACCGCUGCCAUCCCAAACACUUGCACCACCACCAGCGACGCUGCCUACUGCCAACACCAUCAACAUCACCAUCACUACAACACCGACAUCACCCACACCCCAUCCCACCACUUCAAAGCAUCGCACCACAGCCAACCACCGUAAACACCAUAUCGCAUCACCAGUACCAUUUCCAUGCAUAAACCACCACCCACAAGAACCACCACCGCCAACCACCACUAAGUAAAUCGAACAAAAAAAAUUACAGAUUCGAGCAUAUCGACGUUGCAGAUUUCGGCAAAAUCGGCGUUGCAGAUUCGACACCGCAAGAUCUAUCAGCAAAUCAGAUUCGCAUCGCAGCACUCUAGAUUCACAUCCAACCUCGUGGUGGAUUGGGUCAUAAUGGCAAUAGCGCUCUUUCCCUUCGUCUCUCUUCUCGUCUCCCUCUCUUCCAUUGCCAUCACUACAGCGAUGUGAAUCUGCAACACCGAUGUGAAUCUCCAACCCAUCGCCACGCGGCUACCCACCCCAAUCACCAAAUCAACCACCACAAAAUUGCCACCACACAAUCACCACCACCACCCCCAAAACUGCUACCAUACACACACAUAGCAAUGCUGUGGAGAGAAGGUGUGAGGCGUUGGGUUGGAGAAAUAUAGAUACAGGGGAUUAAUUAGGGCUGUGAUGUGGGUAUUGAAGUAUAUAUAAUUAUUUUAUAAAAAUUUUAAUUAAAAUAAAAUAUUUGGUUUUUGAAAGAUAAAACUAUCCCCCUGAUUUUAGUAUACAAGAUUUUAAUUUUAGGGUUUUGGGUAAUUUCCUCUUAAAAAUUUCACUUAUGAGGAAAAAAGUCAUACAAAAGAUCAUAUAAAAAUUUUCACUUAACAAGUUAAAAAAUUCUUAUGAAAAAUAAUGUCAUAAAUGUUUUCUUUUCUCAUUACUACUAUAGUCUUCUAAUACAGUGUGACAUCAAACACUAUAUUUGGACAACCCCCAGUAAUCCACCUCAACACACUCCCCUAAUCAAUCAAAUCUUCCAUGGUGAUCGUUGCCAAGUAUUUAGUGCCAUGUUUUGUUACUUCACUAUUAUGAUUUUCCUCUUAUUAUGUGCCCCUAAUUUAAUAUGGUGUACCGAAUAUGAUUUAAACAAUGUAUAAAUUUGAACUGGAGAGAAAUAGGAAAAUGAUGUUUUCCAGUAAAUAUGUUUAUCUUUCAAGAAGUUCAAAUUCUUUGAUCGAAAGGGCAUCUUUGAUUUUAUACAAUUAAAAAGGAAUUGCUUAGUUUCAAGAUUCUACAAGUAGGAUUCUUCCUAUUACUUUAAAACCAAGGACACCCCAUAUGUCUACUUGAGCGUCCAAAUAGCCUGGCUCGCCGUCAGUGAGACCUAGCUUGCCGGCUCAAGGAAUUGAAUCGGCCCAAAAAAUAAAAAUAAAAAUAAAAAUUGUGAGGUCCAAACUCAACAACAUAUAUAUCACUACUAUCUUAAAAAGAGCGAAUCAGGCGGUUAUUGUUCAUUUAGGACGUAUUUAGGUGUUUUUCAGGGCGUAUUUAGGUGUUUUUCAUUUUACUCUCAACUCUCUCGCACAGUAACUCUCACACUAUGGGUCUAAUUGCCUUUUUAUAUGUAGACAAAAUAACAAAAAGUUAAAAAUAGUGUGCUACCUAAAGGGUUUGAUUCCCUGUUUUGCCUGAUUUGAAUUUUUACGUCCAAAAAAAAAAAAAUAGUUGACAUCAUACACAUAAAUUUUUUUUUUUAAAGAAAAUGAUGUAAAUUAUAUUGAGAAAAUUGUUGCGAGAAAAUAAUAAACAAUAAUAAAAUUAUUGAUUUUUUUUAAAGAAAUAAGGACGAGUUAUACGCUUUUUUUAGCACACAAACGAUGUACAUUUAACUAUUUUCGAUAUUCACUUAAAUUAUUCGAUGCCUCUAUGAUAAGUUCUUGAAAUGAAUUUCAAGAGAAUAUAGAAGAUUUAUGGUAGAUUUUUAUAUAAAAAAAUUAAAUAAAUCGCCCAGUGAAAAAAAAGGGAAAAAAUUGACACAAAAAAAAUCAAUCACCCAAUGAAAAAAAAUUGAUACUGAGCAUUAUAAUAAUAAUAAUAAUAAUAAUAAUAAUGAUAAUAAUAAUAAUAAUAAUAAUAAUAACAACAUGCAUUACGGAGCAACUCCCUACAUCACGGAGCAUUUGCUCCGUGAUGCACGAAGUAUUGUCGUAAUAAUUUUUUCCCUCUUUUUUUUUUGGUGAUUGAUAUAUUUUUUUUUAUACAAAUCUAUUUUAUCCUUAUAAUGUGACACAAAGUAUGUUGAAUCAUGUAUAUUUUUUAUUUCUUAAAAGCAACUGCGAUAAAUCAAAGUAAAACUUAACACAAUGUUGAAAAAAUUUAAUACUCAGUUGAAAAGAUGUCGAUUAAUUUAUUUGACGAUAUUGAAUAUUUUAGAUGUAUAUAAAUUUUGGAGGAUUAAAUUCAAAUAUAUCAAAAUUGGGUGAUUAAAUAAAAAUCUCAACCCCAUUUAAGUGACAAAAUAUUAUAAUGUGGCUCAGCUUGUGUUUGACUCCAUUAAAUCUUUUUUUCUCUCUUUUAUUUUCAAUCGCAGAAUCUUCCAUAGAAUAAUAUUACACGUAAAUAAAAAACUUUUCAUUAAAUCGAUUGGAUAUUAAAUAAUAAAAAAAAAGAUUCGAUUAAUUACAUGAUUUAAUUAUAUUGAAUAUAGUUAUUAUCAAAUAUGUCAUUUAUAUGUAAAAUAACCACUCAAACUAAAAUAAUGUUUGAUAUAUAAAUUAUGAGCUCCAAUAAUUUGAAUUUUUAAUCCAUGCAUCAAGAGAGCAUUUAUCGUAUCUCCAGAAAAUACAUUUCAAUUAUAGUAAUACAAAAUUGAGACCAACUAAUUUUUCAUCUUGAUUAUUUUAACAUCUGAAAAAAAAUUAUAUAUAAAAGAAAUUCGAUCAUUUUUAAGAAUUUUUUUCUUAUUGUUACUUUUUCGUCUCGAUCAAUUAAUUUUUAAAAUAAUCUAAUGAAAUUUUUGACGCCAUUUAGAAAAAAUUUCUAUUAAACUUUAAAUUUUUGGUUAAUGUUAAAAGAGACAUUAUUUAAAAAAUUAAGAAUUUCGAUAACAAGCUAACUUUAAAAAUUCAUCGAUGAUUGUACAUUAGUCGAAUACAUAAAUCUUCUAUAUUAUCUCGAAACUCAUUUCGAGAACUAUAUUAUAGAUAUAUCGAAUAAUUUAAAUGAAUAUCAAAAUUAGUUAAACGUAUAUCAAACAUGUGUGUUCAAAAGAUAUUAUAUAUAUGUUUCGGUAGUUCUUUUUUUGUUUAUCUUAUGUGUAUCGAUUAUUUUGGACAAAUAUGAACUUUUUUGUCUUCAACUUAAACUCUCAAGUACACUCAUGUAUAUUAUCGAUUAAUAAUAAUAUAUGAUGAUGCAAAGUGUGUGUCAUAUAUGAAGAUUGCAUUUUCAUUUAUCAUUUUAAACAAUUAAUUAAAUUUGUAGAUUUAUUGAGAGAAAUGAAUAGAUAUUUUUACGCGUUAAUAUUAACUAAAAAUGACAUAAUUCGUGCAUUGCACGGUGGAAAACUAGUAUAUAUAUAUAUAAAGUUAGAAAAAAAGGCAUAUAUGGGUGAGAUUGAGCAGGCUCAUAGUCUAGACAUUUCACGAGCUAACUUGGAUUGGUCUGCCUAUUUUGACACUAUUAUGAAGAUGUAGCUUUCUGACCCCAAACCAUAUGUAUAAUUCAUAAUUUUUUCAUCAUUUAAAAUAUAUGAUACAAUAUGAUGGUACAUAAAUCACCUAUAUCCGACCUCGACCUAUUGUCCCGACCUUGCCUUUCUCCGUUUCCCCUAAUAGUGAUGUCGGGUCUACAUUGAGGGCAGGCCAUAAGUCCUUUAAUGUCAUUCCUCCCCUACGUUUUAGAAGACGUUAAUCCUACUUCGAUUAUAAUUCCCCCUUAGCCUCAUUAUUAACUUAUCACAAUCCAAUUCAAACUCAAACAGGGCACUUUGAAUAUAACACAAACACCUUGCAUGAUAUGGAUAAGAAUUACAAGAGGUUGAAUCUUCCUAUAACCCUACCACCAACGUCUAUAAAUACAUUAUCAAAGCUUAUUAUUGAAGUACAUUUUUCAUUAUUUCCAAUUCAUGGCCUCACACUUAAAUUCUCUCUCGGACUUAAGCAUUGGAGAGAAGAUGAUAACACACCUCAAAGCCUUUGUUUCAGGUAUUGGAAGAACUCACUCAAGGUCACUCUUAGCCAUCAACCUCGGGAAACAAUAGAUGCAAUUUUUGAUAGCAUCACAAUACAAUUUGAGCAAUGUUACAUGUACAGAGGAAAUGCACAGAUUGAUAUAUAGAAUGCCACAUGGCAAUAUUUUAUUAGAUGUUGGAUAAAAAAUAUAGUUAAAACAAUCAAUCAAGUUCUGUGAACUCGACACCUGUAAAAUUGUCUGUACAUUCGCUUUUACAAGUAUCAUUUCUCAUACAAUUUAUGUAAUAAAAGUUGAAUAUAGAUGAUCAAUAAAUCAAAUGAAUAUUAUGGCUUCGUUUGGUACCAAUUUUUUUUUAAAUGCAUUCUUUUUUCUUUCAACCACACAUUUUUCAUCAAUUUACUAUUAUAGAAUACAUUUUUAUAUAAAAAUGACUCUCAAACAGCCACUAUAUCAUAAAUAUAUAAUACAGUACAAAUUAGUCUUAGAGAUCUUCAAAUAGAGAAGUGGUUACAAACAUAGCUAAAGUCUUAAGGGACUCAGAAAUAGUCCGAAAAAUUAAUUUUUUUCCCGAAAAAUUAAUUUUUUUUACUGUUAUUUCACAAUUUUAUCGUCAUUUUUUACUUUUUCACUCACGGACAAAACCAACCUUUUACUUUAACGGUAAAAAAAAAAUCAAUUUUCGUACAUGUCCUAAGUUAUCUUAUUGAGAAAAUAAAAAAUUUCGAAUAAAUUCUAGGGAAACAUGCUUCACUUGGGACGAAACACAAAACGCUUUGCGCCUGUUCCCAGGGUUAUGCUCUCACUCGACCUCACCCCUAUGCAUAUUAUAAUUUCUUGAUUCCCAUAUGGCAUGGAGGCAAAUUCUAUUCUUCAACAAAAGAUUACUGUCAACCCCUUCUAUUUCUGUUACUGGGUUGGCAAGCUUUUCAUCGAAAUCCAAUCCUUACGUAGGUAAUUCGUUUGUUUCACAAAUUGUGUUUGUAUGUAUGUGAAUGCAUAUUUAGGGCGAUACCUUUUAGGGUGGUAAAUGGUGAUUAUGGGUUUUCGAAAAUUCCUUGUUUGUUGGUGGUGCAGUGAAGGUUGGGAUACCGGAGUGUUUGAGUGGAGUGGAGAAAGGAUUGGAGCAGCAUGUGGAAAAGCUGGAGUCUGAAUUUGGCGACUUGCAGAAGCUUCUUGUGGCCCGCACCAUUAAGCUCAAGAGAAUCGGCCUUAAAUGCCAAGAGGUAAGAAUAGUUUAGGAAUCCCCCCCCCCCCCCCCCCCCCACACACACACACACACACAAAAAAAAAGGAAGAAGAAAUUUACUGACUAUUUGUCUUAUAUAAUUUUUGGAUAUGACUUCUAAUUUUUAUGUUGUUCCGGGGGAUAAUAAUUUGUGCUGUUCCUCGAAAACUUGGCAUUGGGGUUGAUUUAUUUUAUUGAUUGUGCUAUAUUUAAGAUAUGGUUGUACGUAAUCAGAGCUCUUAAGUACCUGUGCUUAGCUUAUGUUAAGCACCGGUGUGCCAUGUCACACUGUUGACCAAUUAAUUGAUGUGAUAUAUCACCCGUUCUCAACAUAAGCUACGGACCGGUGCUUUAGGAAAUCAUUAGUGUGUAAUUAAUAUUGGUCUUAGUUAUGGAAUAGUUUUAAGCAGUAGUCUUGAGCUGUGAUGCACGGACUCUCGAUUCUAGACGAAACACCUGUCUCGACCCGACACGACACAAGUACGUGUAAGGAAUAUGAGGCGGAUAUGGCAAAAAUCAGCCGGACACAACAACCUUGAAGGCUGACCAUGACGGGGCCGCUGGAAAAAAAAUGAGUCAUGUGCUUGCCUAUGUCAGAGAACGGAAUUGGGAAGGAUCCUUGUGAUGAUGGGUGUGGGACUUGAAUACAAUCCUGCUUCCCUACACUAUGCUGAAAUUAUACGACCCAUUUCGGCUUCUCUGUGUUGGAUGGGAAGAAGACGGCUUAGAAGUCAUGAAAUGAGAUGAGGGAAGAGAGAAAUAGGGUUUUUAAUACAGGAAUUGGGUUGGGUUAAUGAAAUGCUCUCAAGAUGUGGAGGUCCAAUAAGAGAGAAUAGCUUUUCAUAGAAGAUUAGAGUCAAGUUGCCCUGGGUACUGUUUGGGCUCAGGAUAGGAGGCCUAUUAUUAUAAAAAGAAGCCCCAAAUCUUGGCUACUAUUCAAAAAAUAAUUAAUCUUAAAAAAAUUAAAAGUAUCUUUCAUGGUAUCUAUGAAUAAAAAAAAUUAAAUAAAAUUUGAAAUUUGAAAAAUGUACCCACGUACCGAUGUCUGAAAUUUACACUCUUUUUAGCUAUGUCCCCAUAUCCUAAAUUUUAAAAAAUAAAAGGUCCAAUACUUAAACCCGUACCCGUACCCGUACCCGAGUUCGAGCAUCACAAGUCUUGUGCUAGUCUGUGGUUAAUUGUCUAGACAUGUGCAAUACAUGGUGCGGGUAAAAAGAAAAAGGGAAUUAGAACUAAAAAGCUCUUUAUUCUUGGUUUACUAUUUACAUUGCAUGGUGAAAACUUAUGCGGUCAAAUUCCAGUUAAUGGAUAUGAUCUCAACUCAGCUGGAAUCUGCAAAUCAAUAAAUGUCAGAUCUUGGCAACAAUAAAUGGGUGGUGGUGGCCUAUUUCACCCUAGUGUUAACUUAGUUUCUAAUUUCGAGCGAAUAAUUGAAAGAGUUUUCAUAAGAAAUAUAAUUUUUCUUCCUAUUUCGGAGGCAUGUCCCUUGAGUUGUCGGUGCUAAAAAAAAAAAAAAAAAAAAAAAAAAAAAAAAAAAAAAAAAAAAAAAAAAAAAAAAAAAAAAAAAAUAACUGAAGUGUAGAUAGAAGAUUUCUAUGCCCCAUACCAAUGUGAAGUCAUCAUUCUGGUUUGUUUCACAUGCCGAUAAUGUGUCAGCACCCCACCGUGGGUCAGUUAUGUGGCACAUCAGGAUGAUGAUCACAUUAGUCUAGGAGUACAAUUACUAUUUUGUUUCAAUUGUAUAACUUCUGUAAAUUAUUAGAUAUGCUAAUAUUCAUAAUUUGAUUUAUAUUUACUUUAUGGGAAUGAACAAAUAAUGUGGGUGGUUCUCAUUACUGUGAAAAUUGCAUUCGUGCAUUGUACCAUCACUUAGAUGCUGAGAGUUGUUAACUCACCGCAGCAUUUGCAUUAUCAAUUUAGGUUAGAAGAAAGUAUUGUCAUAUGAAAAGUGAAGUAUUAUUGAUUUGGCACGUGAAAAGUGAAGCAACGUACUAAUUGUGUGGCACUUAGAUGUGUGAGAUACUCACCAUACCAUUUUCUUUUUUAAUUAGGUUAGAGAAAAGGUAUUGUGCCAUGUGACAAUUGAAGCCUUAAUGAUUUUUUACUUCAGAUGGGAAAAUGUUUUGGAAAUUCGGUAUUGCAAUUAUUGUUUAGCUUAGUGCACAUUAAGUUCUGUGCUUACAGAGUUGAUCAGGAAGAGAUAUAAAGUUACAAUGUUAUAUAUUGGUUAUUAUCCUUUUGUGUGAUUAGAGUAGUUGUUCCGAGCAUUUCAAGCUCCCAUCUGAUGUACUUCUAAUUUCGGUAUCUGAGUUGGUGCUUAGUGGAACACCUUAUUGUUUACAAUUUGGUUACCAAGUGCUAGUUUACUCACUCAACUUUUGAUAGUCAUGUCAUAAUCAUAAGUAACCUUCCAUAUACUUCAAGUCAAGGUAUUUCGUUAACUUGGUAAAUCUAGAUUGUAUUGAAUUAUUAACUCAAAUGAGAGAAGAUUUUUGAAUUUCAUGUUCAUAUACUUGUUAACUUGAGAAAGUUCUGUUGUAAAUGGCAUUAUUGUUUACUUUACAAGGUUGAAUAAAGAGGCUUGAGCUUGUUGGGUUAGUGUCAGUUAUGUCCUCAUUAAUGUGUCAUCUUUAUCAAAGUUUCCAUAAUAUGCUAGUGUGUGGUACUCCCUUUCCCUUCUUCCCUCCUGUUUGCGUGCACGUGUUAGUUCCUUUUUUGCUUUUUGUUAAAAAUGUGCCAUUUAACCUUGUACCCUACUGCUGUUUCUCAGUAUCCACUCCUUUUUAGCCGUGAAAGACCAGCCUGUAAACUUUUGUGGCGAACGUCAGGUUAUUUGUCACAAUUUAAAGAAUCAAUUUUAAAUGACUAUACCACGUAAAUUUUAGUACUAUAAAUUGUCUUGAACAGUUUUUCUUCUGGAAAAUCAUAACCAAAUUGGCAUUAGUAGAUUUUGUAAAUGAACAAGUAAAUUCUAAACCUUCACUAGAAGAUACAGGGAAAGAACAGACAACUGGUUUUUGAAAUAUAUAUGGAGUUAACCGACUAUUUUGACAGAUUUGCUUAGGCAAGCUUUCAAGAAAGAUGUUGACUGGCAUAUUCUUCUUUUAUGAAUAUGCAGGGAAUAUUGAGAACGUAAAAUUUUCUUCAUAGGGCUAUGGGUUGAUUACCUCUUUUGUUCAUAGUAUCUCCCAUUCAUGAUUGUCUUGCUGGGCCUCUUCUAUCAAUUUUUGGCUUUAUGUAAAUAAGCUUUCAGUUAUGUCAGUUUGUUAAAUGGGUUAGACAUGGGGGUUGCACUAAAACUCGUAACGUUCUGAAUUCAUAAAUCUACCAUUUUAGUAUUCAAACAAGGUCAAUGCGAUAUGCUCUCAUCUUGGUACUCAAGUAAUAGAGGAAUCCUGCACAAGUUAUGUCAUGAUUGUUUUCUGCUUCAUCCCUGUCAACAAUGCUAUGGGGUUUUUGGAAACAAGAAACGUGGACGUCUUUUCUCAAAAUUUAUGGUCCUAUAACCUUUGUUCAGCCUGCAGCAUGUCUUGCACGUAGUUUACUGUUUACCCCUGGAGAGGUUGAGUAGCUUUAAUACGUCUUGGCUAUGGAGAAUUGGAGCAAUGCGUCCCUGUGUUUCUGUUCUGGCAUAAUAUAGUGAUUAGAGGUUUUAACUUCUAUUCCAGUACCGAGUUUACCUAUUUUUAGUUCCAUAUGAAUUAGGUUAUAUUCAUGUUUUGAAGAACCUACAAAUAACUAUGUGCUCCACAAUUCAUAGAAGCCAAUAAAAGAAGUCACUGACCAAACUCAAGGCAUCAAUUAUUCUCUUCAUAUCCAAUGUUCACCUAUAAUGGUAUCAAAUGCGUUCUUUUAAGUUUCUAUUUUUAGGAAGUCACUAGCUCUGGCAUAUGAAGCCACCUUAGAAGAGGAGAAAUUUGUUGAAGGUGUGGUGGAGGAAGGUCAAGUUCGAGUUGAAGAGUGAGUGAUGUAUAUGAAGUAACACUAAAUAAAGAAGUUGUGCUAUAAGUUAGUGAUAUCUAUUUUCGUAAUUCGCAAGGCAUGCAUGGCUCUUUGGUCCAUUAAGUUGUUUGAUGGUAAUAAUAAUACUUGUUCUCUCUUUAGUGAUAAAUUUAAUUUGACUUUAUUAAUAUAUGUUGAACUAUUUUAUUUAAAAUAUAGUAUUUUUAUAGGACUUAAAAAGAUCUAAAAAUAACUAGCAAUGCACGUUUACUGCAAUUAGUUCAGAUAAAUAUCCUUUCAGCUCCCGUUUGGCCCCCAUUAAUUUUCAUUACAUUACAUGUCAUUUUUCUCUCUCUUAUUUUCAACCACACAAUAUUCCAUAAAAUAAUAUUAAAAGUAAACCGAAAAUUUUUCUUUUUUUUUCAACCACUUAUUUAAAAAAAAAAAAAAAAAAAAAAAAAAAAAAAAAAAAAUUUUUUUUUUUUUUUAGACCCCUUUUUUUUUUUUAAACAAACCCCUUUUUUUUUUUUAAACAAACCCCUUUUUUUUUUUUAAACAAACCCCUUUUUUUUUUUUAAACAAACCCCUUUUUUUUUUUUAAACAAACCCCUUUUUUUUUUUUAAACAAACCCCUUUUUUUUUUUUAAACAAACCCCUUUUUUUUUUUUAAACAAACCCCUUUUUUUUUUUUAAACAAACCCCUUUUUUUUUUUUAAACAAACCCCUUUUUUUUUUUUAAACAAACCCCUUUUUUUUUUUUAAACAAACCCCUUUUUUUUUUUUAAACAAACCCCUUUUUUUUUUUUAAACAAACCCCUUUUUUUUUUUUAAACAAACCCCUUUUUUUUUUUUAAACAAACCCCUUUUUUUUUUUUAAACAAACCCCUUUUUUUUUUUUAAACAAACCCCUUUUUUUUUUUUAAACAAACCCCUUUUUUUUUUUUAAACAAACCCCUUUUUUUUUUUUAAACAAACCCCUUUUUUUUUUUUAAACAAACCCCUUUUUUUUUUUUAAACAAACCCCUUUUUUUUUUUUAAACAAACCCCUUUUUUUUUUUUAAACAAACCCCUUUUUUUUUUUUAAACAAACCCCUUUUUUUUUUUUAAAAAAGGGGUGAAAAAAAAAAAAAAAAAAAAAAAAAAAAAAAAAAACCAUUAUUUCACCUAUUAAUUUUUCGUCAAAUUGGGGGCCAAACGGGGGCUCCAUUUGCUGAUCACUCGUUUCCCUACCGAAAUGAGCAAAUUGCUGAUAUGGUCCUCAAAUUUAGUACAUUCAUUCUUUUGCCUUAAUCUAAAUGGUCGCUUAUUAACUAUUCUAGACAUAUACACUUGAAUGAUUUACUUUCUUUUCUUUAGAGGGUGGGAUUGGUUUGGUUGGGUUAUGGGGGAUGCCAUGUAACUGGAGUUUCAAUAAAAUAUAGACAGCAUAACACGAGGUAGAAUGUAUUAUCUGUUACUUCCUAAAGCUACUCGGAUAAAGAUUAAAUUGAGUAGUCGUUUAUGAAACGAAUGCAAUCGUUUGGCAUUACAUUAUUGUGUGAUUUUAAGUUUUAUUAACCAAUCCAUGCAGUGAAACCUCUAAAAUUGAUUAAUUUUAUUUUUGCAGAGGAAGUUGAUAUUGAAGUAUGCCCACAAGUAUAGGCUUGGACUCUGGAGGCCAAGGGCCGAGCCGGUGAAAUCUUAACGACUCUUUGCUUGGGCAGUAUGAUAGAGUUAACUGUUGUGCUGGUUGGUAGUCGGUGUCUACAAGACUUCAUAAUCACAGGUUCUAAAUGUGCUUCGAGCCUCUCUCUUUUCUGCCUCCCUAUGGACAUUCAUUUGGUGAUUGCUAGUUGUUUACUAGGCAGAAAACAUGCACAUUUCUUAAGGUUGAAGAGCAAGGUACAAUUCGAGCCAAAGGUUUAUAUAUAUAUGUCUUUUUUUUUUGAGAAUUUGAAAGAAAGAUUCACCUUUAUUAUCUCCGUAGUUGUUUUUUUCCUUUCCCCCUUUUUUUUCAGUAGAAUAAGAUAGUUUUAUCGUCCAAUUGAUGUUAAAAUGUUGUGCCUAACAUUACAAAGUAGAAGUAGAGGGAACACAUUUAUAUUAACAGGCUAAGUUAUUACAGAGUAAAUAAUGUAUUUGUUUGUAAUUCAUCUUUAAGAUACUCCUAUGUUGACAGUCAAGUUCAUUUUUCUUCAAAUGUUUGAAAAAUGGAAUUUUCAUAACUAGAUAGAGACAAGAUUUUGGGGUAAUUAGCACAAAAGGUCCAUUCCUUUCAUUUUUUAGCAUUUUCGCCAUUAUUUCAACGUUUCAUUGCAGAAAACGUCAUUUUCACCAUUUUCUAAUGUAAAAUGAUCAAAAUAUCAUCCCAUUUAAAUAAAACAAAAAAAAAUUAAGAAUAAAUUACAAUCUUACUUCUAAAUGUUUUAAAAGUGCAAGUGAGUUCAAAUAAUUAUUAAAAGACUUGGUAGUACAGAACAUCCUUACUUUUGGCCUAUAGUGUGCAGAAGGUCCAUACGUUUCAAAUUCAUAAAAAUGACGUUUUUCACAAUGAAAUGUGAAAAUAGGGGUGAAAACGCAAAAAAAUUGAAACGUAUGGACGUUUUUCAUAAGAAGUGUCAAAUAUAGGAAAUUUUUUUUGUUAUUGAGCCUUAAAAAAAUAAAAAUCUCUCUCUCUCUCUCUCUCUACCUUCUCUUCUUCUCCAAAUGAGUUAACUAUCUUAGAAGUCAAAAAAUUCCAGCAAACCCCCACCCAAAAUGCUAGACCACCAUACCAUCGAAAAGCUUUCACUUCCCUCUUCAUACCACAUAACAUCCAACUUUAAAAUCUUCAUGCCAAUAGAUUUGUUUGAAAUUGCAAGUCAAAAUACACAACUCGCUAAUGCAAAUAUUAGCGACAUCGUCUAUUUCGGAGAGACUCAUGUCAUUUCUAACAUAUCAAUCGACUAUACUAACAAUGGUGCCUCUCUUCAUGGUUUUGAAAUAUUAACAGAUGAUUCAGCGGUAUGGAGGUUCGACGGUGGUUGGUCGGAGUUUCUUCACCUCUAACGUGGCAGUCCCAUUUGGAGAAGAAAAGAAGAGAGAGUUUUUUUUUGUUAUUUUUAAUAAUUUUACAUUUGACACUUCUUAUGGAUAACGUUCCUACGUUUCAAUUGUUUUUGCAUUUUUAUUCAUAUUUUCACGUUUUAUUGCGGAAAACGUUAUUUUCACCAAUUUUGAAAUGCAUGGACGUUUUGUACACUAUAGGCCAAACGUAUCGACCUUUUGUACUAUUAAGCCUUUUAAUAAUUAUUUGGAUUUACUUACACUUUUUAAAACAUUUAGGAGUAAGAUUGUAGUUUAUUCUUUAUUUUUAUUUUAUUUUAUUUUAUUUAAAUGGGAGGGUAUUUUGGUCAUUUUAUAUAAAAAAUGUGAAAAUGACAUUUUCUGCAAUGAAACGUUAAAAUAAGGGCGAACAUGUCAAAAAAUGAAAUGUAUGGACGUUUUACACAAUAACAUUGAAAGAUAUGAACAUUUUGUACUAAUUACCCCGAUAUUUUGAAUACAUUUUUGCUUGUUCUCAUGUCAUACCUAAGUGUCUAAUCAUCCAAAGUGAUAAAUACAUUUAUUAUUUUUUUUUAAAAGAAUAAUUAUGUUUCAUUUACGACAAACUAGGUGCUUCUUAUACACACACAAAAAAUAUCGGAGGACUGUUUGAGCCCCAUUCUUCAAGAAAAAUACAUUAUUCUACAGUGUUUUGACAUAAUUUUAACCACACAUUUUUCAAUAAAAUAAUAUUACACGUAAAUCUAUAACUUUUCUUUAUUUUUUAACCAUACAUUUUUCAUCAAUACACUAUUCAAAAAUAUAUUUUUCUCUACAAAAUGGGGCUCAAACAAAGGAACUAUAAUGAAUAAAAUUAAAUUUAUUUUAUUUUUUAUCCUUUAUAAUAUAGUUAGUACUCUUCAAUCAUUUGUACCAAAACAUGUCACGAGUGUUCUUGAGCGUCGGUUGUUAAUAAGUUCAUCUAUUCGAUUUUUUAUUUUUUAUUUUUUAUUUUUUUUCCUGAGUUGAUGCUGAUUGCUGACCAUUAUGAUAGUAGUGGACACUGAGUUCCAUGACUUUAGUCAUAAUAGUUACAUGAAUGCGUAUGGGCUUAUACAUAAAAGCUAUAGACAUGCCAAAAUAAACAAACGAAGUGCGCACGUUAUAACUUGUGUUGGUCCAACAAAGCCUACACAAUGUAACAUUAUAUGUGGUCCUUCAUAAUCAACCCCAUCGUAAACUUCUUUAGCUCCAAAUAAACCCAAGUGGGUUGGGGGUUUCGUUUUGGUAGUUUUUCAUUUCCCUUCUGUAUCAAUGGUGGAAUCGAAGGUAAGAUAUUCUACGAUAAAGGACUGAUUAACCUUGAUCGUAUGUGAAGUAUGUGAAAUAAGUUAUUUCUAUCGUACACGUCGAGCGUUUUGGAUAGGAUGGCAUCUUUGUUUUGGAUCAUCGACUAAUUUUACGAGAACAGAAUAAAUAAAUGAUUUAAUGAUGCAAGAAUUAUUCUCAACCAUGAAAGUAUAUUCAUGGAAAAAAGCUAAACCAUAAGUGGGUGGGGCUGCCUGAAAAUGUAGCACAUGACGGGCGGCUUCUUGGCUAUUAGGUGGCUGUGUUUGGCAGAUUUUGCCAACUUCCAAAGUUGUGGGGCUACCCUUAUUCCUCACCAUUUUCCUCCUAAUUUGUAUAUAAAAAAUACAAAUCGUAUAUGUUUGAUGUUUUAUACUCGACAAUUCGACAUAAUUAUAAGAAAAUUUUUUCAUGAUAGCAUCAAAUCUUCAUAGCUUACAGAAUUUAAGAUUUAAAUAAGUUUAUUAAACUUGUAAAUAUAAAGAUUCGAAGUUGUGAAUUUAAGUUAUGUUGUCAUCAUUUUAUAAAAAAUUUACAUAUUUAUUUGAUUAUGUUUAUUUAUUUAAAUUUUAUCUUCAACACAAAUGUUCGAACAGAUCCCUUGAAGCUCGGGAUUUAAGAUAUGAGGAUAUUGACACCACAAAAAGAAUCUUUCUCCAUACAAUCUGUAACAAUGACAGAUGAAUCGUGUACACGACUGAUAAUAAACAAGCGGGCCACUUCAUUGAAUGUGAUAAUUCAGGCACGAUAGCUAGCUACAAUGUCCAAAUCCAAGUUGCACGGUACGAAAUUUACUAAAGAAAUAAUGCAAUCAGAUAUUCAGACUGCAGUUAGUUGUCCCAAUAAUUGUUAAACUUAGAUUAACGUUUUUUUAUUGCUCACUGCACUUUAAGGUGUCGAAUUUUGUUCUUUAAAUUUCUCAAAGUAUUUGACGUUGCUAACUGGAAUAACUUUCGUUUUGCUUUUCUAACGUAACUAACCUGACAAACGGAUUUCACAAUUGGCAUCCCAUCACCGUUAGAUGUCGAAUCAUGGGAGAGGGACCAUCCACAUGAGUAAGGUAUAUUUGAUUGUUUACUAUACUUUGACAGGUAAUUUUGAUUGCACACUACACUUUAAACCAGCUGAAUUUUGGUUAUUAAACUUUUUAAAGUGACGCCGAGAUGAUGAACAUGUGUUUUGUUUAUCUUCUGUCGAAGUAUCGUUAGCAAUCACCUUGUUUAUGUGAAAUAUCUCUUUUUCGUGAUUGGACUUCUAACAGUGAUGGGACUCUAAUUGUAAAAUCCAUUUGUCAGAACAACUUUCUGUUAGAAACACAAAAAGGAAGUGAUUCCAAUAAGUAAUGUAUGAUACUUUGAAAAGUGUAAUGAUCAAAACUCAACAUAUUAAAGAAGAUUGAACAAUCAAUUAUGCGUGAACGAUCAAUUAUGCCAAUUUAAGUUUUGUGAUUAUCAUGACAAUUAACUCUUCAGUGUAUUUCAUGAGGUUUUUUUUUUAAUACAACCCGUCACAUUUAUAUAGACUAAAUUUCUUUAUUUUCUUAUCCCCAAUAAUGUGUUGUUUCGUUUGUUUACUAAUAUACUCUUAUUUAAUUUAUCUAGUUAUAAUCAAUUUUUUUUACUUAAUUUUGAAAUUGAACUAGUUAUAUAAGGGUAGCAAGUAGACUAAGAAAAUUUUUGGAAAAAAUUAGUUUUUCAAUAACAACAAAUAAGAUUUAUUAAUCUCUGUAAAAAAAUAAAACAAAUAUAUAUAAAUAGGGCGGAGAUAGUAUAAAUUUUGUAAAAAUUAAUUUUUUUUUUCAGGAAUGUGUGAUGAACAAAUAGAAAAAAAAAUUAUGAAUUCACAUACAAAGUUAUUUUAUUGAAAUAAUAUGUGACUUUAUAUAUAUAUAUAUAUAUUUUUUUUUUUUUUUUUUAAAUGAAUUUUUAAAAUGUCUAUAUCCCAACAAGUGCUUAAAAUAGAUGAAAAAUAUUAAGUUCAUGUUUGAGCCACAUUCUAGUAAAAAAAAUGCAUUAUUCAUAUCAAAUUAAUAAAAAAUGUGUAGUUAAAAAAUAAGAAAAAGUUUUAAAUUUGCAUGCAUUAUUAUUUUAUUGAAAAAUAUAUGAUUAAAAUAAUGUCAAAUCAUUGUUAAAAAAUAUAUAUAUUUUUUUAAAAUAAUUUGGCUCAAACAAGCCAUAAAUUGUAAAACUCUUAUAUAGGGCGACAUGAACACAUUUUACUAAUUUAGGCAAAAUAUAAUUACUUCCCAGUUAUUAACACAGCUACACAGGCUUUUAAAAAAUUGAUUCAUAAAUAUUCAAAAUAAAAAAUAAAAUAAAAAUUUCCCAAUAUAAGUAAUUCCCUACUGAUCAGAGCCGAGGCGAUCAGAAGAAGCGGUCAAUGAGCCGCCGCUUGUAAGGAGGCCAGUGAGGAAAGUCAUCGCGUUGACUUGCAUUUGCAGAGCCGCAAUGUAAUCAGUCGUUUCUUCUAGAAGGUUAGGCAAUGCAAGGUUCUGGCAACCGGGAACUAAUCUUCCCAAAACCCGCACUUUACUCUGCACAGGCGGCCGUUUUUUCUUCACAGCUCGUUUCUUCGACCUGGAACCACCAGUAGUCGGCUUUGAUGCUUUCUUGUGUUUCUUAUUGAUCUGAGCAAGUCGGAGACUAAGUUGACCCGUAAGGAUCGCCCGGCUCCAGCGAGUCCUUCGCUUGGCUGAAACGGCGAGGACUCUGUUGGCAACCUCACGCAACGCGCGACCAGAGGCGGAGGGAGACGAGGAGCCUGAACGGCGGAGAUGGCGGAGAGCGCGGACGAGCUUCGACGAGUAGAUUUGUUGCUCUGUCUCGGUUUUCCAUGUAGAACGACCCGUCGUCUCUAUUGUAUUCAUUUGGGACUGGGUUUCCGUCCCCAUUUUCCUUCGCUUUUUGCGCAAUGGGUUCGAUUUCACAUCGGGAAUUGCGGUGAAUGAAGAAGCCAUCACAAUCAAAAUCAGAAGAGUUUCAGAGUUUUUCAACUAGUUUCUCCGAAUUUAUAUUCCUUCCAUAGAUUUCAAAAUGGGGACCAGACCCACCUCCACCUUACCUCACAGACUCCAAAUACAAAGACAAAUAGAGAAUGGAGAAGAAGAAUGAGAGAGAGGGGGAUUUAUGGGUGGAAUGGUAAUGGACGGUAGUGGGUGUCGUAAUUGAAAUGUGAGAAGAGAAGAAAUGACUAAUCACUCACGCGGCCCGCCUUUAUUAAACCAUUUAUUGCUCCUCUUCUCGAAAUACUCCUGUAGAUGUCGUUUAUGGACAUGUUUGGUACAGCUUAAAAUUUAAUUAAAAUCAAUUUUUUUUAUCGUUAUUUCACUAUUUCAAUCGUUAUUUUUAAAUUCUUUUUUUAUAGAUAAGAUCCACUUUAUCUCUAACAGUUAAAAAAUCAAUUAACAAAAUCCCUAUUGAACAAACACUAUAUUUAUUCAUUUAUUUUUCACAAUAAUCAAUAUAUGCGAUUGUUAUUCUAAUAUUAAAGUUUUUCAUGCACUUCAACAACAAUGUUGUUAUUUAAUUAUUUUAUUUUAUUUUAUUUUCUUUGAGAAAUAUAUAUUGGUUUCUCCUCUCUUAUUAUUUAAUUCUUGUAUAUGUAUUUGACCAAUUAAUUCAAAUGUUAUUUGAAUAAUUUCAAUUGUAAAGUAUUAAAAUUUGUAGCUUAUUAAAUGCAGUAACUGUAAAUUGAGAAUAUAAAGUGAUUCUGACUCUCUAAAUUUGGAAAGUCAAUUCCACUAUUUAAUUUUAAACUAAAAAUAAAGUCUAUUGGAGUUUGUUUUUAAAAAUAAUGCUGUUUAACAUGAGUAUAGAUAUCUACACUUUAUAUGUUCAUUUAAAUGAAUAAUGUGAUUUUACAUUUUAAUGAACCUGUCAUUUAUCCUUAUGUAAUUGUUACUUAGACUAGUACUUAAAAUCAGUGAUGAUGAAUAGCAUAGCUCUAUUUUUUAUCAUUGAAUAUCUAAAAUAAAGAAUAUUUUGUGUUUUACAAAGUUUUCUGGAGAUUAUCUAGCCCCUAUUUGACAUCCAUUUUAUUGAAGUUUUUAAGAAAACGAGUUUUAGAUUAAUGAUUUAUUUAUUUAUUUUGGAGGAAUAUAUGGUUAACAACUAACAAGUAGGAAAAAGUGUAGAGUUUAACUGGAAAACAUUUUAUUUGUGUGAAUAUAUAGUUGAAAAUGAGUUCGAGACAAAAAGAAUUUUUUUAAUUAUUUACUUUUUUAGGAGAAUGUGUAGUUAAAGAAUAAAAAAAUAUAGUAUACGUGUACAAUAUUUUAUUGUAUGAAUAUAUAGUUGAAAAUUAUCCUAUAAUGAAUCAUAAAAUAAAUUAAAGAAUGUCAAACAUAUACUAUCUUAUUAUGCAAUGGGUUUUGGACUUUAAAAAUGUUUUAAAUUUCUAUUUACAGUUCAAGAGAAGUAAUGGAAUUCAAAAGCCUUUUCCCUUUUAAAUUCUCUCUUUUAGUCUUUACCAGUUCAUGGUUUUAAUUGUAUACAUGAAACAAAGUAUAUAAUCUUCUCAUUAAAAAUACAAUAUCAAAUCUCUGUCAACUAAUAACUUUUCAAAUUUAGCAAUAUAAUAAGGAUAGAUUAGACAAAAAAAAAAAAAAAAAAGGUGUCUUUAAACGAAGAGAUAAGUAAAUAAAAAACAUGAAUUUUUAAAAUAAAUUUUAAUAUAAAUAAUUUAAUAUUUAUCUAUGCAUGAAAUCAAACAAUUUAUAAAGUUCAAUUGUUUUAAUAAAUAAAAUUUCAAAAUAUAGUUAAUUUUUUUCAAGUUUGAAAGGUUUAUAAUCCAAUCUACUACAAUUCAAUAUUCAAUUUUCAAUUUCAAUUACGUGUAAGGAAAAACUUUAAAAAUUAGUCAUAUGAAAAAUCUUAACAAAAGUAAACAUUAUUAGGCAGGUUAGCUGAAAGAGGAACACCAAAAAAAUUUGCCAACCUAAUUGAAUUAUUCUAUUUGUACAAUACCGUGCCUGGCUUUCAGGAGGGGCCGCCACUUGACCACCUUGUCAACCUUUUUUUUUUUAAGGUAUUGUACUUCUAGCAUAUUUGAUUACCUAAACAUUUACCUGGUUUUAUUUUGAUUAAGGGGCUUUCGAUUAACUAUCAUAAUUAAAAUGUCGAUAAUUUUUAUUUUACUAAGUCAAAAUUCAUCUAUCUAUGAAAAGCUUUGACAUGUUGUAAUAUCAAAAUUGACCGAUAGUGGAACUUGAACUCGAGAUAAUAUUGUGUACUCUAAUAAUUAUAUCGAAUCAUGUUGUAAUAUCAAAAUUGACCGAUAGUGGAACUUGAACUCGAGAUAAUAUUUUGUACUCUGAUAAUUAUAUCAAAUCAUCAAGUUUAAAAAUUUAAAUGGCUAAAUGUAAAAAAUCAUUUAUAUAUUUUCAAUCGGUAUAAUGUCCAAAUCGUACAACCGACCAAUUGACAAAAUAAAUUUUGACAUUAUUGCUUACAAUGUACUUACCUUGUUUCAUUUUGUCAUUUCUAACAACACAAUUUGGUUUAGAACGUGCCAUGAAAAAGAAAGAAAUGACCAUUUCUACCGUGCUUUUUACCAGCAUGCAAUGUAAGACUAGCAUUUUCAAUGAUGCAUGUGAACAAGUUUCAAUUUGUAAGUACUGAUUUGAAUUUUUCAAUUCACAUUCACACCUUUUGAAAAGAACUGAUAAUCAAGGUAACACGACAUAAUUAGGUUAAUUUCGAUUUUUUUUUUUUUUUUUGCAUACGUUAUGUCAUUUUUUAGUUGUCUUUAUAGAUGGAUUAACGAUUUUGAGUUUUAGAAGAGAGAAGUAGGCGAUCUUGAUCGAGUUCUUAAUACCAACUAAAGACUCAAAAUUUGAUUCAGUUUCAAUAUUCUUUUUAUUAACAUAUAAAUUAGAUUAUAUUAUAUGAAAGAGCAUGAACUAAUAUAAAUUACCUCUGCUAAUCAACAAAUUUUGCCACCUAAAACAAAUAGAAAGCAUGAAAGUGAAACUAGGUUACAUAAUUGUUUACAGAAUUACAGUUUUCUCUUGAAGCAUGAAUGUAAAGGAUUGUGCCUGAUGUACAUAAUUUGGGUACAUAGGACUGUUCACACCCCUCACAUGCGUGUAGUAAUUAGAGUGGGGCGGCAGCUUGCCCAAUUUGCCACCCCGUUUAUUUUAUUAUUAUUUCUCUUAAGGGACAGGCUGGGAAUUUUUGCAUCCCUACUUGUGCGAAGGUGGGCCCUACCCCAUGUGAGGGGUGUAACACCCCAAUAUACAUAAUUUAUGUAUACCAAGACUUAUCCUAAAGAUAAUUGGACUGUGCUGAAAUAUAAUUAGCCGAUUUUGUAACGUUUGAUUUUAUCACUAACAUGAUGCUAGUAUUUUGUAACAAAUUAAAAACAAAACUUCAACAAAAAGUGAAAAACCAAAAUUUUUCAUCCUAAGGUCCAGAAGUUGUACCAAAAGGCCUGCCCACCACGUUCAAGAUCUACAGAAUUGUGGUUAACACUCUAAAUCCACUAGCGCAAUCAAAAAGAGUACAAGACAAUGCUCAAAGUAUCAACUAGAAAAGUCCUUAGAAAUAUAGUUUCUCUCUUGAUCUCUCCUGUCAUAAUUACAUCAUGUAACCAAAUAUUACUGCUUACCAAGAACAGAAAUGAACCCUCAUAAUACUCUAUUUUACAAUCUCACCAAGAAAUCAUCAGAAGCAAAGAUUACCGAUGAAAGAAGAUGAAUAAAUUACAGAGGGAAAGAAAAAUGGCAUCACUCAAAAAAACCCUAGAAUAAUCUUGCAAAAAGAGAGACAAACGGGGUAUUUUUAAAUGAAAUAAGCCAAUAACUCUUCCAUCAACGGCUACCAGUCAACCACGUGGCAUCAUUUCAGCUUUUAGAAUCAAUUAACCAAAGUCAACCGAGUCAAACUUCCAAUUUAUAUUCAAUAAUUGGGCCUAAGAUUGAGCCCAAGCGCGGAGGCCCAUAAGCGUUACGCAAGUCAACUCGACACCUGAAGUUAAUUUCAUUAAGAGUACGUUUGAUUGCGAUUACGAAAUUUGCAUGUAAAGAUAACUUAUUAAUUAAACAUGUUUGAUUAAUUUAAUUUUCAACUUAAAAAAUAUUAUACUUAUCCAUUUUUUAUUAAUGGAUAGAUGAGAGAGAAGAGAUAGACGAGAGAGAAAGAAAUAGUGGAUUUCCUGAAAAAUAAAAUCGUACUCCCCUAUAAAAAAUAUUUUUCUUGAAUUUAAAAAAAUAUGGUCAAGUAAUCAAAAGUAAGAAAACGUUUUCCAUGAAAAAAAUGUCAAAUUAUACAGCAAAAAAGUAAAAAUUCGAAUAAAAAAUAUUGAUAAUUAAACGCACCCUAAUAUUUUAUUUAGUCCGGGUCUCAUCAAACUUAGACCUCGUGCUAACUAUUGAGUGAUCCCAUAAUCGUAUUCCAAUUUACCAAAAUUAAAUUUCAACAUCACAAGAAUAUUUGAUUUAUUCAAACUCUCAACAAGACUUGAAUUAUAUCAUUAUGCUGGAUUGUAUUGUAUAUUUUAAAGUAAAAUUAUAAAUAAAAUUUAAAAGCCUCCACUUUAGAAAAUUGAUGUGACAAUACAUUAUUGGAUAACAAAAUACUGCCGGCUUCCAUUAUUGGAAUUUGUUUUAUACGAAAGGAUAAAUAAACAAAUAGAAAAAGGAAAGCAGCAUGCGGUUGGGUGGUUUCAGUGGCACACUUUCUAUCUCUUUCGGCCUUUUGCUUUUUGGGCUGACAUUGCCAUAUCUUAUAAUAUGGGCUUUGUUUGGGAGUUUUAGUCAUUUCUCGUCACCCUUUUAUCAAUUCCUAAGGGCUUGUUUGGGAGUUCUGGAUAAUUCUUUAAAAAAAAAUAAAAUGAAAUCAUAUCUCUCUCAGUAAAAUUCUUAAUCUAUGCUUUCUUGUAAGAAUUUUUUUUCUCAUGAUUUUUUACAUAUAAAGUUAAAUUUUAACUUAAAAAUGAAAUAUUACUUAUCAUUAAAUUUAAAAUAAAUAAGUAGUUUUUUACUUAAAUGUAAAAUUUACAAUUAUAAGCUAAUUUUGUAUUUUUAAAAAUAUUAUGUACACAUAAGUGAUUUUUUACUUAUAAGUAAAUUUUUAUAUUUUAUAAUUGAAUUUUGUUUUAUUAGUAUUUUUUUUAACUUUAUGAGCAAUUUUUUUUACACAAUAAAUUUUUAUCUUAUAAGUAAUUUUUUGCUGAUAAGUAAAUUUUUUGAUAUUAUAAUUUUAUAAACAAGUUAAUUUUGAACAAAAAUGUGUGAGUUGAAAAUAGAUUUUUUAUAGAGACUAAAAUUGAAGAACCACCAAAACCACCAAUUUGAGAACUAAGAAAUAUGUCCCUAAUUACACAACAUUGAUUUUGGAUGAUAAAUAUCAAUUUUCGCAACCUCUUAUUGAACGUAUCAUCCAAAAAGAUCAAAAUCGAUGAAUAAAAAUUUCAAAGUUUUUUAUUAUUUGUAUUCCAAAUUAUAUUUUAGUCAUAUUGUUUCUCUAUUAAUGUAGUCGUGACGUUUAAUUUGUAACAAUUAAUAAACAUAACAUAUAAAGAUUUGCUACUUGUACAGGGUUUAGGUCUAGAAGUAGUGUUGGCAGCACUACAUUGGCUGCUAACACUGCACUUUUUUGCUAGUGUCCAAUGAUAAGUCAUUGGACAUGACUUAUAAUGACACUGACACCAAUCCCUAAUCUACAGUAUAAGUACCAGUUUCAUCGUCAUUUUUUUUUUGUCCACAACAUUUCAAUGUUACAGAUAAAAGUCUACUUAAUUGUUCAAAUGAUAAGCUCCCUUUUUUCUAAUUAAAAGAAAAAUGGCGGGAAACUGCGAGCACAAACAAGACGACUCGGACUCUAGGAGAUGUGAACCGAGUAGAAGCUGGCUUUGGGUGGGGGAAGAAGUGAACAUUUUCCAAAUGGGUUUUCAGUAUUCUAAAAGGCAUAAAGUUUGGUUAAGCAACAAUAUCAAAUUUUAAGCUUUUAUGUACCAAAGCCUAGAUACAAAAAUCGUAAAACGCGAUUUCAUAAAGUUUGGUUAUGUGACAAUACUUGUGCUUGUCGAGCCAUAGUACUAAGUCCUACCCCGGUGGAGAUUCUAAGUUUUACUUUAUUUAUUUUUUAUAUUAAUAAAGCACGUGAUCGCUAAAUAAUAAUAAUGAAAAAGCAAAUACAUGGCUGCAACCACUUAGCGCUACCAGAAUUUGAGUCGUGAUCUUGUUAAGGACAAGGUGGCCCCAUUG
rnacentral:lncRNA from 1 species